rnacentral:lncRNA from 1 species
UGGGAAUAAGAUCUACUUUGCUCUUUUUUUUCGAUUUCUUAUUCUUAUCGUUGUUAUUCUCGUGUUCUGAUUGCUUGACGUGUGGUAAUUAGCAGAUAUCCGGGUCCUCUGGGAAACUAGGGUUUUCUUAGUUUCCUUAUUUAAACGGAAAUCGACAGUGCGAAUUUCGGUUCCCACAAUAUUCGACAUCUUGGGUCCUCUGGGAAAUUAGGAUUUUCCUAGUUUCCUUAUUUAAACGGAAAUCGACAGUGCAAAUUUUGGUUCCCACAGUUUGGCGCUAGAAGGAGGGGGGAUACGGAUCAAUCUAACCCGCAAAGUCACUCAACGAUCAGAAACGAUAUGCAAGACUCGACGUGCGCGAACGUCAUCUCAUUCAAGGGGGGAGCAACGAUAGAUCGGGCCAAACCUCGAAACGAUCUCCUUGUCAUCGAGUUGACGAUUCGAGAUAUCGACGUCGCUAGGGUGCUGAUCGACACCGGUAGUUCGGCCGAUAUCAUCUUCAAAGAUACUCUCGAAAAAAUGGGGAUCAAUCAAUCCGAAGACACGAAAUACCCAAUCCUACUGCUGGGACUUUUGGGGGAAACAACCAUGGCCUACGGAUCGAUUAAUCUCGCUGUCAAAGCCGGAACCGUGACGAACGUCACAGAGUUUCUAGUCGUUGACCGUCCCGCAUCUUACAACUUUAUCAUGGGGACGCCAUGGCUGAACGCCAUGCGCGCAAUCCCAUCAACAUACCAUCUUUGCCUCAAGUUCCCGACCCCUAACGGAGUCGAGGUAAUAUGGGGAAAUCCGAGAGUCUCACAGGUUUGUUUCGCCGCCGAACUGAAACGAAAAAGACCGAUCCUUGAGAUCACUCCUAGAAAAGUGGAGGACAAGACCUCCAGCAAAGAUACACGAGGUCAGGAUUCAGCGGAACUCUUCUGGCAAUCUCGCAGCAUCGCAACCCUAGAAGAAAAACGCGAGCCAACAUGCGAACCCGUGGUAACGAUCUGUCUCGACGAAGCCUUCCCGGAACGCUGCGUCGAGAUUGGAGUCAAUCUCCGCGAGCCUUUAAGAACAGAGCUCAUAGCCUGUCUUAAAAAGAACCUCAAUACUUCCGCAUGGGCUGCAGAAGAUUUGUCGGGGAUCGACAUUAACAUAACAUGUCACGAGCUGAAUAUCGACCCAACAUUCAAACCCAUCAAGCAGAAAAGGCGGAAGCUAGGACCCGAACGUGCUGCCGCAGUAAACGAUGAGGUCGAAAAAUUGCUUAAAGUUGGGUCGAUAACAGAAGUAAGAUACCCAGACUGGCUUGCCAACCCUGUAGUAGUCAAAAAGAAAAACGGGAAGUGGCGAGUUUGCGUGGAUUUUACCGACCUAAACAAAGCAUGUCCAAAGGAUAGCUUCCCUCUACCACAUAUCGAUCGAUUGGUAGAGGCAACAGCGGGCAACAAACUUUUAUCCUUCAUGGAUGCCUUCUCAGGUUAUAAUCAAAUUAGGAUGAAUCCUGACGAUCGCGAGAAGACUGCGUUCAUUACCGAUCGCAGAACUUAUUGCUAUAAGGUAAUGCCCUUCGGCCUCAAAAACGCCGGUGCAACUUACCAACGACUCGUAAACCGAAUGUUCUCUAAACAACUCGGAAAAACGAUGGAGGUUUAUAUCGACGACAUGCUCGUCAAAUCCCUCAAAGCAAAAGAUUACGUGUCACAUCUCGAAGAGUGUUUUGCGCAAUUAAAUUCCCAUAACAUGAAGCUCAACCCGACAAAAUGUAGAUUCGCCGUAGCGUCAGGGGAAUUCCUCGGCUAGCGGAAACCGACCUCGGAGCUAGUAUAUAAGGAGUCCUAGGCGAGGAGCAUGAGGGAGAACUUUUUCAGAGCAAACUUAGCACUUAGAGCAAUUUAGGAAAUUUUCCGGUUUUGUUAUUUCGAGCUGCGACUCAAUUAGGUUUAGCCGUCUUAGGGUUACUAGAACUAGGAAUCUCGCCGACAGCUCUCGAGCGCAGGCUUAUACCUUGUUGUAAACGCUCAUACGCAAAUUAGGAAUAAGAUCUUCUUUGCUCUCUUUUCGAUUUAUUAUACUUUAUCGUUGUUGUUCUCGUGUUCUGAUUGCUUGACGUGUGGUAAUUAGCAGAUAUCCGGGUCCUCUGGGAAAUUAGGGUUUUCCUAGUUUCCUUAUUUAAACGGAAAUCGACAGUGCGAAUUUUGGUUCCCACAAACGGACUGAAGAAACGCUUAGAGGCCAAAAAAGGCAGGAGGGCCGACGAACUCGAGGGAGUCCUCUGGUCUCACCGUACCACCCCAAGGCGAGCAACGGGAGAAACUCCCUUCGCUCUGGUAUACGGCACGGAAUGCAUGAUUCCCGCAGAAGUAGAGACUCUCAGUCAGACAUGUCAAAUAACGACGCGGAUAACGUGCAAACUUCUCUUAACGGAGGCAGCGGCACCGAUCUCCACACUCCAGUAGCGGACGUAUCCGCGGCCAACGCACAAGCCAACGCCGCGACGCUCGAGGAGUUUAAAAAGAUGUUCGCCACCUAUGAGAAAAUGUCGGAAGAACAGGAUAAACUCGUGAAUACCUUCACCAAACAGGUUGAAACCUUAACGGCAAGGACCCAAGCAAUCCGUCCCCGCGGAACCACCAAAAUCCACGGGAAGAGGCUCGACUUCGCCACCCCACUCGAUAGAACAGGAGUCGCGCGGGAACGACCUUCCGGUCAAAAUCCUAGCGAGAAAUCUCCCAUCGAAAAGGGGAACCCUGAAAGUCUUCCGCCCCCUGCAAAGGACUCGGAGGAUAACGAAGCCGAACACAUUGACCUGGAUCCUAGCGAUGUCUCCAACGACACCGACGAGGAUGUCGACAGACAUCCAAGAAGGACCAGAAGCCGAUCCGCUCGGGAAGGCUCUCCGUUCGAAAAACCAAUGACGGAAGAAGAGGAAAUCGCCUAUUGGAACGAACAAGAGGAGCUGGCUGAAAAGCAAACCGAGCUCACUCGCAGUAAACGCCGACAAGCUCGGAAAUCCACUGACGAGACACUGGAUAUCCGCGAUCUUCGUGACUACAUCACCAAGACUGCGGCAGAAGUGAGAGCCGUAAAGUCUCAAAUCCAUCAUGCUACUAGUGCUGCCCCCGAGAUCGAUUGACUGCUGGAAGGAGCUCGAAAGACCCCCUUUACCAGUCGCAUUUCAGACAUGAGGGUGUCCGAUCCGGGAAAAAUCAAAGUACCGAAGUACGAUGGUACGGCCGAUCCAAAAGCGCACCUUCAGGCUUUCCACAUCGCGAUGGGAAGAGCAAGACUGAAGGACAGCGAAAAAGAUGCCGGCUAUUGCCGCCUGUUCGUCGAAAAUCUUGAAGGAGCAGCGCUCGAAUGGUUCGCACGGCUUCGUCGCAACACCGUCGGGAGUUUUCGACAGCUCGCAUCGGAAUUUCUCAAACAGUACUCUGUAUUCAUAGACAGAGAAACUUCCGAUGUUGACCUCUGGAGUCACUCCCAGAGGGAAGACGAACCCCUCCGCGAGUUUAUCAGUCGGUUCAAGCUGAUAAUGUCCAGGGUCAGCGGGAUAAGCGACAAAGUGGCCAUCGACGCGCUGAGAAAGAUGCUCUGGUACAAGUCGAAAUACAGAAAGUGGAUAACUCUCGACAAACCGCGAACGAUCCAGGACGCCCUCCACAAAGCGACGGACUACAUAAUAGUCGAGGAAGAAACUAAAGUCUUAUCGCAAAAACAUAAGGCGGCAAGACCAUCCUCGAAAGACGUGGAUCCGAAAGGGAAAAAAGAAGAACUCUCGUAACGACAAUUACGUCCAUCACGAGGGGGAAUAUCUUCAAGGGGCGCAUAACUAUGCGAUCAAUUCGGAUCAAGGCCGGACCACGGGCAACACAUGGACUCGCAAUCAAGGGUAUGACGAAAACACCUUCUGCGAGUUCCACCAAUUCCGAGGACACUCCACGACCAACUGCAAAGUCUUGGGAGCAAGACUGGCCGCGAAGCUACUCGCUGGAGAGCUCUCGGAAGUAACUAGCGUCAAGGAUCUCAUCCUCGAUUCUGAUUGUCCUCCAAAGACGGACAGAAAUCGCAAGCUGAAAAAUCCCCUCAACGAACCCAACCUGGGGAUAAACGCGGUAGGAGGCCGGACGACAAGGGGAACGAUAACAAUCGUCGCAGAGUCAAUAUGAUCAUCGGAGGAUCACAAUACCGCCGAUACCGUGUCGGCCAUCAAGGCUUACCAACGGAAGGCAAAGUCGAGUGCAAAUUGGCCUACAUGGUCUCCUCCUCGAGAUGACAAAAAUUGCUCGAUCACCUUCACAAAGGAAGAAGCCGGCGGUAUCGACCAACCUCACUGCGACCCGCUCGUCAUAGAUCUCGUCAUACGAGAUUUAGAAGUCAGAAGGGUACUCGUCGACACAGGAAGUACGGUCAACGUAAUUUUCCGCGACACUCUCAAGCGGAUGAGCAUCGAACUCGGAGAAGUAAUUCCGACGCCAAAACCGUUCAUGGGUUUUUCAGGCGAAGUAUCGAUGACUCUUGGAUCGAUCCAAUUGCCAGUCAUGGCCAAGGAGAUCACGAAAAUCGUCGAGUUCGCGGUAGUCGAUUAUCCCGCUAUCUACAACGUGAUCAUGGGAACCCCAUGGCUCAACGCCAUGCAGGCAGUUCCGUCAACCUACCACCUGGGUCUCAAAUUCCCAACGCCAAGCGGAGUCGCGGCCAUCUGGGGAUGCCAAAAAACGGCAAGCGCACGAAGAUAGACCGAUCUUCGGCCAAAAGCGCCCCAGGAAAAGAUGAAUUAAAAUCGUCUACCGACGCAAACGCAUCGGACGUCGAAGCUCGACACAAGUCCGAAGCCCACGCUACAACUCAACCGGAACAUCCGGAAAAUAGCGUUGACCCAACCACGAUCGACACGGUCAAGGCGGACAUCGCAACAUCUACCGCCGAGUAAGAACACUCGCGACAUGAAACAGAACUACGAGAUGGCUUGAUUCUCGAAAGGGGUACGUAGGCAGCUCGUCAAAAGACGAGUUCAGCUAUCCCCCUCUCUAAAAAGGGGGGGNNNNNNNNNNNNNNNNNNNNNNNNNNNNNNNNNNNNNNNNNNNNNNNNNNNNNNNNNNNNCCCCCAAAAAAAGGGGGGGGGGGGGGAGUGGGUGCGUAUACUUGUAUACUCCCACUUAGAAAAAUCUUCUUUAUUGUAAUCGAGUUUUUAGAAACUUUAAAAACUUUUACUACAAUAUACGUUGUUCUUUUUAUCGAAAACGUUUACGCUUCAGUAAAACACAAAAGAAACUUUCAGGACACGCCUGGAAACAUUAAGACUCUUGUCUGCGGCCUCAUCCGGCCCAAAAAAUCAUCUUUCAAACACGCAUAGAUACACGUAUAAUCCCCGAAACAACUGCGAGACGUCGCAAAAGUUAAAAUUCGAGGAUAAUACUAACAAAUUGUCCGAACGCGACCACCAAAACCUUACACCCCGUUCGUCGAUUGGCCCCGACGAACACGCUAGCCGUCUUAAACAAACGCAAUUCGAUCACUCUUUUGAUCUUCAAAACGUCCAGCACAAGGACAAAAGCGCGCUACAACAAAAACCCGAAAUUUUGGUCUAGCACUUCCAGUUGACUCUGAGAAGAUGCUCGAUUCGUACCAUACAAGUCAUAUAAGCCGAAAACCUAUCGCGGACUUUAAACUGGUGCGAAUCAAGAAGAAAUCGCAACAGGAAAAACGAUAGCCGGCUAGUCACCGCACAAACCUUAACCGAAAGUAAACCUAGGUCUUGCCCUAAACCCAACGCUCUGGUCUCAAACAUCUCAAGGCAUGAUAUUUAAAAGAUACGAGAUCCUAAACCAUGUCUCUCUGUUCGUAUCUCAAUGUUCUCGAAAAUCGUAAAGAUAAGUAAAUUUUUACGAAAAUCACGAACGAACCAACAGAUUGAACGUCUAAUCAGAACUAAAUACGAGACGACAACUCGUAUUUACUUCGACCCUACUCAGGAAAACUCGAAACGAAACAUUCAUCAUAUAAAUAAACCGCGUAAGGCGGUAAGGGUUUCAAAGCCACCAACGGCCAGUCCCGGUAAAUACAAAUACGGCCAUCUAGGCCUAAGCAAAAUCCAAAGGCCACACUCAGCCAUAAACAUAAAAUAGAAAGACGAACAUCUUUCUUUCGAUAUUUACUCCACCGCUCAUAAUCCAAAGUCAAAGUCCCCGGUAAACGAAGCACCGAACACAUCCGCGGGACGAUCCACUUCCUCGCCACCAUUGGGAAACCCGGUCGAAACCUCCUCGGUAUCAGGGGAAACCGGGAUGGAAUCCCAGAACCCUUGAAUCCGCUCGUCGAUCGGAGGGAUAAGCGCCUCAGCGUGGGCACGUUCAUUCAUCCCACUUUUCAUCAAGCUCAUUUCCUCCUCGAACACAUAGUCAUCGGCUCGCGUCCUCUAAAGACUUCCGACCGAACCGCGGCACUCACGGAAAUCAUCCACCGAGGUAAAGGCGUUCUUGAGGUUCCCAUACUCAACCUGGAAUUGAGAGGCACGAGUCUUCAUCACCUCGACGAUUUCUCUUUUGCCUUUCCUUUCCGCCUUACGGACAGCCCGCGCAUGAUCACGAGUAAGUUGCACUUCUCGCUCCAAAAUCUCGCCUUGCACGCGAGCGAGAUCUCGUUCCGCUUUCUCUGCUUUGAAACGAUAGAUCAUAGCCUCCCUAUGACUCGCUUCAAUGGCCGAGCCAAGCAAGUUAAGGCCCUGCGAAAUCAAUUAACGCAUUGUAAGCAGAAAAAGAAAAACCUAGGCAAUCACGAAUAUUUUCGAAAAAAUCAUACCCCGUUGAUGAUUCGGGACCCUUCCGCGAUGACUUUUGGCCUCGCCGACUCUUUCGCAGGUGGAGGAGCAUCAAAACCCGGUGGCAGACCGGCAAAGAAAUCAUCAAAGUCCGGGAUAGGGGCCUCGCUCGAGCCACUCCCAUCGCCAUAAGCUAGGUUCGGAUCCCAUCCUGGAAGCAUAGAGUCAUCCAUCGAAAAUUCUAUGUCGCCAAGGUCGAUAUCUUUUCCCUUCCAAGAGCUCGACUCCGGCACGGCUAUUGGGGCUACAGCAGAACUCUGGUCAUCAGGUUCAGAGUCGCUUCCCGUAUCCGCAACCGAGGCAGGACCAUGGUGCACGAACCUCAGUGCCCUCUGAAUCCUCUUCGGCGUAAAGGAAGUCCAAAAGAAGGGACCAUUCCUAAGAAGAUCCCUCACCUCAAUAAUGUCCUCAGGGAACGGAGCAAGAGGAUUGAUGAAAGGAUGAUCGUUCGGCAACCUUCGGAACAGUGGAAUGCAACUCUCUUCGACAGACGCAGCGUCUAUACGAACAAAGAAGAAAAACCUCUUCCACGAGUUGAAGUUCGAAAUGAACUUCUUAACCACUGACAUAAACUUCCGAGGGACCAGCCUAUGCUUGUCCGUAUCUUUGACGAGUUCAAGCCUCAAAAGCAUUUCAAAAUGAUCGACGGAAAGGGAAAGGCCAUGCUCUCGUAGCUCAGAAUCAGGAUCCCGAUAAGAUGCUGAAUGGCGAGGGGGGUCAACUGGCUUAUCGCAACCGCGAAACGGUCCAAUACUCGGACGAGGAUUUCGGGGAUUGGGAACCAUAAGCGACAACGCACUACGAACGCCUCGUAGCAAGUGAAGUAACCCUCUGGGGGGCUGUUAGCACAUUCUCCGGGGUAGGGAACCCGGAACUCCACAGCAUCCGGGAUAUGGUAGAACGAUUGCAUGAUCGCGAGAAACUCGUCGGUACUCCUGCUCGGAUACUCUUUCUCGACCCCACGAUGGGUCAGGACCGGGAACGACUUCUCUUUGGGAGGAAUCAUCGAACCAUAAUGAGCAACCCACCAUGCCUCAUUCUCGGCGGGAUGUACCGAGUGAGGCACGAACUCCAUCUUUGGAACAAUGAGCUCUUCAUAAGCACUCGCGGACGAAGACCCUUUUUUCGCAAUCUUUUUCUUGCUCGACAUCUUUACACUUCUCUUGAGAAAAUAGAGGAAAAGGGUGGAGAGAAAGAAAGAAAUUUUUUCUUAAGAAAGAUCUUAGAGAAAGACAAGAAAGUGAAAAAAUUAUGAAACAAGUUACCUCCCUUCUUAUAGGCAUGAGGAUUUACUAUUCAAGCUCGGACUUUCGGAUAUUAAUUCCAUCCAACACGCCUAACUUNNNNNNNNNNNNNNNNNNNNNNNNNNNNNNNNNNNNNNNNNNNNNNNNNNNNNNNNNNNNNNNNNNNNNNNNNNNNNNNNNNNNNNNNNNNNNNNNNNNNNNNNNNNNNNNNNNNNNNNNNNNNNNNNNNNNNNNNNNNNNNNNNNNNNNNNNNNNNNNNNNNNNNNNNNNNNNNNNNNNNNNNNNNNNNNNNNNNNNNNNNNNNNNNNNNNNNNNNNNNNNNNNNNNNNNNNNNNNNNNNNNNNNNNNNNNNNNNNNNNNNNNNNNNNNNNNNNNNNNNNNNNNNNNNNNNNNNNNNNNNNNNNNNNNNNNNNNNNNNNNNNNNNNNNNNNNNNNNNNNNNNNNNNNNNNNNNNNNNNNNNNNNNNNNNNNNNNNNNNNNNNNNNNNNNNNNNNNNNNNNNNNNNNNNNNNNNNNNNNNNNNNNNNNNNNNNNNNNNNNNNNNNNNNNNNNNNNNNNNNNNNNNNNNNNNNNNNNNNNNNNNNNNNNNNNNNNNNNNNNNNNNNNNNNNNNNNNNNNNNNNNNNNNNNNNNNNNNNNNNNNNNNNNNNNNNNNNNNNNNNNNNNNNNNNNNNNNNNNNNNNNNNNNNNNNNNNNNNNNNNNNNNNNNNNNNNNNNNNNNNNNNNNNNNNNNNNNNNNNNNNNNNNNNNNNNNNNNNNNNNNNNNNNNNNNNNNNNNNNNNNNNNNNNNNNNNNNNNNNNNNNNNNNNNNNNNNNNNNNNNNNNNNNNNNNNNNNNNNNNNNNAAGUUUCCGCGGAUAAAUACGGAAGUUUUGAAGAUAAUUGUGAAGAUCGGGAAAAAUGGAAUAUCUCCAUUUUUAUGCUAUGACGGCUUAAGGGCAGAAGAGUAAAAGCGUAAACCGACCUCGGAGCUAGUAUAUAAGGAGUCCUAGGCGAGGAGCAUGAGGGAGAACUUUUUCUGAGCAAACUUAGCACUUAGAGCAAUUUAGUCAAUUUUCCGUUUUUGUUAUUUCGAGCUGCGACUCAAUUAGGUUUAGCCGUCUUAGGGUUACUAGCACUAGGAAUCUUGCCGACAGCUCUCGAACCCAGGCUUAUACCUUGUUGUAAACGCUCAUACGCAAAUUCGGAAUAAGAUCUUCUUUGCUCUCUUUUUCGAUUUCUUAUACUUUAUCUUUGUUAUUCUCGUGUUCUGAUUGCUUGACGUGUGGUAAUUAGCAGAUAUCCGGGUCCUCUGGGAAAUUAGGGUUUUCCUAGUUUCCUUAUUUAAACGGAAAUCGACAGUGCGAAUUUUGGUUCCCACAAACGGACUGAAGAAACGCUUAGAGGCCAAAAAAGGCAGGAGGGCCGACGAACUCGAGGGAGUCCUCUGGUCUCACCGUACCACCCCAAGGCGAGCAACGGGAGAAACUCCCUUCGCUCUGGUAUACGGCACGGAAUGCAUGAUUCCCGCAGAAGUAGAGUUCCCCGGUGUUCGAAGAAGGUUAUUACCCGAAUGAGAGAAACUCAACGAUGCUAUGCUCUUGGAUGAUCUCGACCUCAUUAACGAGCGCCGAGAUCGAGCGCUCAUUCGAAUCCAAAAUUACCAGCACGCCGCUGCAAAAUACUAUAAUUCCAACGUACGAAAUCGUUGGUUCAAUCAGGGAGAUCUGGUCCUUUGCAAAGUCUUCCAAAAGACCGCUGAACGAAACGCGGGAAAACUCGGAGCAAACUGGGAAGGUCCCUAUAAAAUCGAAAAAGUCGUCCGACCAGGUUCUUACGAAAUAGCCAACAUGCAAGGCAUAAAAAUUCCUAGAACCUGGAUUGCGAUGCAUCUCAAAAAAUACUAUCACUAAACAAACCAACUCGCAAUCACUGAACUACGAGACGGCUUGAUCUCCGCAAGGAGUACGUAGGCAGUUUGCCGAAAGGCAAAUUCAGCUGUCCCCCCUCAUUAAAAAGGGGGGGAGUGGGUACUUAUACUCGUAUACUCCCAAAAUCGAAAAAACUUCUUACCACGCUCUUGGUGUUUUCGACUUAUCAAAACCUCCUCACCCGUAAAAUCAGUGCGAGGUCUUCGGAUAUUAGUCGGCCGUUUAGGAGAAGCAACCUUUAGCAUCGCGAGACGUCGCAAAAGAUGCCUUAAAGGUUAUUUCUUUCGAACAAACAAAACUUCCGUCACAAAAGAAACAUAUAUAUGCACACAUUAGCACCCAUUUUGCGCAAAAAUUCGAAACAACGGCACACGCCACCAAGUCCGAUGCUGAUCACAUCGAACUCGCAAAACGUCCUAAACAGACGUAGCCAUCUCACGAAGAUGACUCUCUUACAUCCGACACAAGGAUAAUAGCGCUAUAAAAGAAAUCCGAAAUUUUGGUCUAGCACUUCCGGUCUCCGGAGAGAUGCUCGAUUCGUAUCAAACAAGUCAUAUAAGCCGAGAACCUAUCGCGGACUUUAAAUCGAUACGAAUCAGGAAGAAAUCGUAACAGGAAAAAUGAUAGCCGGCCAGUCACCGCACAAUCCUUAAACCGAAAGUAAACCUAGGUCUUGAAUACGAAUCAGGAAGAAAUCGCAACAGGAAAACGAUAGCCGGCUAGUCACCGCACAAUCCUUAAACCGAAAGUACACCUAGGUCUUGCCCUAAACCCAGCGCACUGGUCUCUAACAUCUCAAGGCAUCUAACAUCUCAAGGCAUGAUAUCGAAAGAUAAGAGAUUCCUAAACCAUGCCUCUAUGUUUAUAUUUGUUGGGGUCAAAAACGGUUACGACGGAAUUACCACCCGAAAAUCCUCGGAGAUCGUAUUUCCGAAAGAGUUAGUAGAAGAAGGGAUGUAAUUUCCGUAAAAAUAACUUAUACGAGAUUUUUACGAAGAAGUGUCCUUUGGGAUUCAAACCGAACGAUCGUCCCGCUCGGUCGCUACGUAGCGACCGAGCUCGAGCCAAAGCUCGGUCGCUACGUAACGACCGAGCUCAAGCCAAAGCUCGGUCGCUACGUAGCAUCGUCCCGCUCGGUCGCUACGUAGCGACCGAGCUCGAGCCAAAGCUCAGUCGCUACGUAGCGACCGAGCGAUCGUCCCGCUCGGUCGCUACGUAGCGACCGAGCUCGAGCCAAAGCUCAGUCGCUACGUAGCGACCGAGCGAUCGUCCCGCUCGGUCGCUACGUAGCGACCGGGCACUCGUUUCACUCGGUCGCUACAUAACGACCGGGCUCGAGCCAAAGUUCGGUCGCUGUGUAGCGAUUGAACCUUUCCGAACAUCGAUAUGACGCCAGUCCUUGCAUCCUCGUCAAACCUUCAAAUGAUAUCUCCCGAAGACCGUAGCAAGCUCAGUCCAUGUUUCCCGCUAUUCUAAUUCAUCGAUCAAACUUCGCGGAUUAGAAACCGCGGAAAACUCGUAGUAAACGUGUCGAGUCGGAAGACGGCCCAAAGGGACCUAAAACACGACUCGAGGCCCAUCCUACGAUUUUUCCUAACCAAAAGCCCGUGAACCACAGCAUGGUUCACACUUGGCCCACAAGGAAGGAUAAAUGUCAAGUUUCCGCGGAUAAAUACGGAAGUUUUGAAGAUAAUUGUGAAGAUCGGGAAAAAUGGAAUAUCUCCAUUUUUAUGCUAUGACGGCUUAAGGGCAGAAGAGUAAAAGCGUAAACCGACCUUGGAGCUAGUAUAUAAGGAGUCCUAGGCGAGGAGCAUGGGAGAGAGCUUUUUAGACUCGGAAUUAUAAACCAACCUUGGAGCUAGUAUAUAAGGAGUCCUAGGCGAGGAGCAAGGGAAGAACUUUUUUCAGAGCAAACUUAGCACUUAGAGCGAUUUAGGCAACUUUCCGUUUUUGUUAUUUCGAGCUGCGACUCAAUUAGGUUUAGCCGUCUUAGGGUUGCUAGAACUAGGAAUCUCGCCGACAGCUCUCGAGCCCAGGCUUAUACCUUGUUGUAACGCUCAUACGCAGAUUCGGAAUAAGAUCUACUUUGCUCUCUUUUCGAUUUCUUAUUUUUAUCGUUGUUAUUCUCGUGUUCUGAUUGCUUGACGUGUGGUAAUUAACAGAUAUCCGGGUCCUCUGGGAAACUAGGGUUUUCUUAGUUUCCUUAUUUAAAUGGAAAUCGACAGUGCGAAUUUCGGUUCCCACAGUGGUAAUUAACAGAUAUCCGGGUCCUCUGGGAAACUAGGGUUUUCUUAGUUUCCUUAUUUAAACGGAAAUCGACAGUGCGAAUUUCGGUUCCCACAGUUUGGCGCUAGAAGGAGGGGGACUUACGGAUCAAUCUAACCCGCAAAAGCCACACACAGUCAGACAUGUCAACCAACGACGCGGAAAACGUGCAAACUCCCCUUAACGGAGGCAGCGGCACCGAUCUCCACACUCCGGUAGCGGAUGUACCUGCGGCCAACGCGCAAGCCAACGUCGCGACUCUCGAGGAGUUUAAAAAGAUGUUCGCCACCCAUGAAAAAAGGUCGGAAGAACAGGAUAAGCUCGUGAAUACCUUGACCAAACAGGUUGAAACCUUAACGGCAAGGACCCAAGCUAUCCGUCCCCGCGGAACCACCAAAAUCCGCGGGAAGAGGCUCGAUUUCGCCACCCCACUCGAUAGGACAGGAGUCGCGCGGGAACGACCUUCCGGUCAAAACCCCAGCGGAAAGUCUCCCAUCGAGAAGGGGAACUCUGAAAGUCUUCCGCUCCCUGCAAAGGACUCGGAGGAUAACGAAGCCGAACACAUUGACCUGGAUCCUAGCGAUGUCUCCAACGACAGCGACGAGGAUGGCGACAGACAUCCAAGAAGGACCAGAAGCCGAUCCGCUCGGGAAGGCUCCCCGUUCGAAAAACCAAUGACAGAAGAAGAAGAAGUCGCCUAUUGGAACGAACAAGAGGAGCUGGCCGAAAGGCAAACCGAGCUCACUCGCAGUAAGCGCCGACAGGCUCGGAAAUCCUCUGACGAGACAUCGGAUAUCCGCGAUCUUCGCGACUACAUCACCAAGACUACGGCAGAAGUGAGAGCCGUAAAGUCUCAAAUCCAUCAUGCUACUAGUGCUGCCCCCGAGAUCGAUCGACUGCUGGAAGGAGCUCGAAAGACCCCCUUUACCAAUCGCAUUUCGGACAUGAGGGUGUCCGAUCCGGGAAAGAUCAAAGUACCGAAGUACGAUGGUACGGCCGAUCCGAAAGCGCACCUUCAGGCUUUCCACAUCGCGAUGGGAAGAGCAAGACUGAAGGACGGCGAAAAGGAUGCCGGCUAUUGCCGCCUGUUCGUCGAAAAUCUUGAAGGAGCAGCGCUCGAAUGGUUCGCACGCCUUCGUCGCAACACCAUCGGGAGUUUUCGACAGCUCGCAUCGGAAUUCCUCAAACAGUACUCUGUAUUCAUAGACAGGGAAACCUCCGAUGUUGAUCUCUGGAGUCUCUCCCAGAGGGAAGACGAACCCCUCCGCGAAUUUAUCAGCCGGUUCAAACUGAUAAUGUCCAGGGUCAGCGGGAUAAGCGACAAAGUGGCCAUCGACGCGCUGAGAAAGACGCUCUGGUACAAGUCGAAAUUCAGAAAAUGGAUAACUCUCGACAAACCGCGAACGAUCCAGGACGCCCUCCACAAAGCAACAGACUAUAUCAUAGUGGAGGAAGAAACUAAAGUCUUAUCGCAAAAACAUAAGCCGGCAAGACCAUCCUCGAAAGACGCAGAUCCGAAGGGGAAAAAGAAGAACUCUCGUAACGACAAGUACGUCCAUCACGAGGGGGAAGAUCUCCAAGGGGCGCAUAACUAUGCGAUCAGUUCGGAUCAAGGCCGGACCACGGGCAACACAUGGACUCGCAAUCAAGGGUAUGACGAGAACACCUUCUGCGAGUUCCACCAAUCCCGAGGACACUCCACGACUAAUUGCAAAGUCUUAGGAGCAAGACUGGCCGCGAAGCUGCUUGCUGGAGAGCUUUCGGAAGUAACUAGCGUCAAGGAUCUCAUCCUCGAUUCUGAUCGGCCUCCAAAGACGGACAGAAAUCCGCCCGCCGAAAAAUCUCCUCAACGAAACCAACCUGGGGAUAAACGCGGUAGGAGGCCGGAUGACAAAGGGAACAAUAACAAUCGUCGCAGAGUCAAUAUGAUCAUCGGAGGAUCUCAAUACUGCGGCGAUACCGUGUCAGCCAUCAAGGCUUACCAACGGAAGGCAGAAUCAAGCGCAAAUUGGCCUACAUGGUCUCCUCCUCGAGACGGCCAAAAUUGCUCGAUCACCUUCACGGAAGAAGAAGCCGGCGGUAUCGACCAACCUCACUGCGACCCGCUCGUCAUAGAUCUCGUUAUACGAGAUUUAGAAGUCGGAAGGGUACUCGUCGAUACGGGAAGCACGGUCAACGUAAUCUUCCGCGACACUCUCAAUCGGAUGAGUAUCGAACUCGGAGAGGUAAUUCCGACGCCAAAACCACUCACGGGUUUUUCAGGCGAAGUGUCGAUGACUCUCGGAUCAAUCCAAUUGCCAGUCAUGGCCAAGGAGAUCACGAAAAUCGUCGAAUUCGCGGUAGUCGACCAUCCCGCUAUCUACAACGUGAUCAUGGGAACCCCAUGGCUCAACGCCAUGCAGGCAGUUCCGUCAACUUACCACCUGGGUCUCAAGUUCCCAACGCCGAGCGGAGUCGCGGCCAUUUGGGGAUGCCAAAAACAGUCGCGACUAUGCUUCCUCGCGGAGCAUAAGUUAAGGCAAAUCACGGCGUCUGCAAACGGCAAACCCGCGAAGAUAGAUCGAUCUUCGGCCAAAAGCGCCCCGCACAAGGACGAAGUAAAAUCGUCUGUCAACGCAAACGCAUCGGACGUCGAAGCUCGACAUAAAUCCGAAGCCCACGCGACAACUCAACCGGAACAUCCGGAAAAUAGCGUCGACCCAGCCACGAUCGACACGGUCAAGGCGGACAUCGCGACACCAACCGCCGAGUAAGAACACUCGCGGCAUGAAACAGAACUACGAGAUGGCUUGAUCCUCGAAAGGGGUACGUAGGCAGCUUGUCAAAAGACGAGUUCAGCUAUCCCCCUCUCUAAAAAGGGGGGGGGAGUGGGUGCGUAUACUCGUAUACUCCCACAAUCGCCAUUAUUGUAAUCGAGUUUUUAGAAACAUAAAAAUUUUUACAAUAUACACUGUCUUUUUAUCGAAAACGCUUACGCUUCAGUUUACGCUCGUCUGCGGCCUCAUCCGGCCCAAAAAUCGUAAAGAUUAUCACCUUUCAAACACGCAUAAUCCUCGAAAAUAACUGCGAGACGUCGCAAAAAGUUAAAACUCGAGGACAAUGCUAAACAAAUUGUCCGAACGCGACCACCAAAAACCUUACACCCCGUUCGUCGAUUGGCCCCGACGAACACGCCAGCCGUCUUAAACAAACGCAAUCCGAUCACUCUUUUGAUCUUUAAAAACGUCCAGCACAAGGACAAAAGCGCGCUACAACAAAAAUCCGAAAUUUUGGUUUAGCACUUCCAGUUGAUUCUGAGAAGAUGCUCGAUUCGUACCAUACAAGUCAUAUAAGCCGAGAACAUAUCGCGGACUUUAAACCGGUGCGAGUCAGGAAGAAAUCGCAACAGGAAAAACGAUAGCCGGCUAGUCACCGCACAAACCUUAACCGAAAGUAAACCUAGGUCUUGCCCUAAACCCAACGCUCUGGUCUCAAACAUCUCAAGGCAUGAUAUCUAAAAGAUACGAGAUCAUAAACCAUGCCUCUCCGUUCGUAUCUCAAUGUUCUCGAAAAUCGUAAAGACAGAUAAAUUUUUACGAAAAUCACGAACGAACCAACAGAUUGAACGUCUAAUUAGAACUACAUACGAGACGACAACUCGUAUUUACUUCAACCCUACUCAGGAAAAACUCGAAACGAAACAUUUAUCAUAUAAAUAAACCGCGUAAAGCGGCAAGGGAUUCAAAGCCACCAACGGCCAGUCCCCGAAAUACAAAUACGGCCAUCUUGGCCUAAACGAAAUCCAAAUCCAAAGGGCCAUAUUCGGCCGAAAACAAGGAUAACUGAUCCAUCCCUCAUAAUCCAAAGUCGAAGUCCCCGGACAACGAAGCACCAAACGCAUCCGCAGGACGAUCCACUUCCUCGCCACCGUCGUGAAAAUCGAUCGGGACCUCCUCGGUAUCAGGAGAAACCGGGAUGGAAUCCCAGAACCCUUGAAUCCUCUCGUCGAUCGGAGGGAUAAGCGCCUCAGCGUGGGCACGGUCACUCAUCCCACUCUUCAUCAAGCUCAUUUCCUCUUCAAACACAUAGUCGUCGGCUUGCGUCCUCCAAAGACUUCCGACCGAACCACGGCAUUCGCGAAAGUCGCCCACCGAGGUAAAGGCAUUCUUAAGGUUCCCGUACUCAACCUGGAACUGAGAUGCGCGAGUCUUCAUCACCUCGACGAUCUCUCUUUUGCCUUUCCUCUCCGCUCUGCGAACAGCCCGCGCAUGAUCACGAGUAAGCUGUGCCUCUCGCUCCAGCAUCUCGCCUUGCACGCGGGCGAGAUCCCGCUCCGCUUUCUCCGCCUUGAAGCGGUAGACCAUGGCUUCUCUAUGACCCGCCUCGAUGGCCGAGCCCAGCAAGCUCAGGCCCUGCAAAAUCAAUGGGCGUGUUACAAAUCCAUACAUAGGAUAAUCACUAAAAAAUUCCCAAAAAAAAACUAACCCCAUUGAUGAUGCGAGAUCCUUCCGCAACGACUCUCGGCCUCGCCGAUUCUUUCGUAGGAGGAGGAGCAUCGAAACCCGAUGGCAGCCCAGCAAAGAAAUCAUCGAAGUCCGGAAUGGGGGCCUCGCUCGAACCGCUUCCGUCGCCGUAAGCAAGGUUCGGAUCCCAUCCUGGAAGCAUAGAGUCAUCCAUCGAAAACUCUAUGUCGCCAAGAUCGACAUCUUUUCCCUUCCAAGAGCUCGACUCCGGCGCAGCUGUCGGAGCUUCAACGGGACUCUGGUCGUCGGGUUCGGAGUCGCUUCCCGUAUCCGCGUCCAAAGCUGGACCAGGUUGCACAAAUUUCAGUGCCUUCCGAACCCUUCUCGGCGUGAAAGAAGUCCAGAAGAAGGGACCAUUCCUGAGAAGAUCCCUCACCGCGAUAAUGUCCUCAGGGAACGGAGCAAGAGGAUUGAUGAAGGGACGAUUGUUCGGCAACCUCCGGAACAGUGGAAUGCAACUCUCUUCGACGGACGCAGCGUCCAAACGAACAAAGAAAAAGAACUUCUUCCACGAGUUGAAGUUCGAAAUGAACUUCUUAACCACCGACAUAAAUUUCCGAGGGACAAACCUAUGCUUAUCCGUAUCCUUGACAAGUUGAAGCCUCAAAAGGGCUUCAUAAUGAUCGACGGAAAGGGAAAGGCCAUGCUCAUAGCUUAGGAUCAAGAUCCCAAUAAGGUGCUGAAUGGCAAGGGGUGUCAACUGACUUAUCGCGACUUCGAAGCGGUCCAACACUCGGACGAGAAUUUCGGGUAUGGGGAACCAGAGGCGACAACGCACUAUGAACGCCUCAUAACAAGUAAAGUAACCCUCCGGGGGGUUGUUAGCACAUUCCCCGCGGCAGGGAACCCGGAACUCCACAACAUCCGGGAUGCGGUAGAACGACCGCAUCGUCGCGAGAAACUCGUCAGUAGUCCUGCUUGCGUCCUUUCCCUCGACUCCACGAUGGACCAGGACCGGGAAUGGCUUCUCCUUGGGAGGGAUCAACGAGCCGUAAUGAGCAACCCACCAUGCCUCGUUCUCGGCAGGAUGCACCGAGUGAGGCACGAACUCCAUCUUCGGAACGACGAGCUCUUCGUAAGGACUCGCGGACGAAGACCCUUUUCUCGCAAUCUUUUUCUUGCUCGACAUCUUUACACUUCUCUUAAGAGAAUAGAGGAAAAGGGUUGAGAGAAAGAUAGAAAGUUUUUUGAAAGAUCUUAGAGAAAAACAAGAAAGUGAAAAAAUUAUGGAACAAGUUACCUCACUUCUUAUAAGACAUGAGGAUUUACUAUUCAAGCUCGGACUUUCGCAUAUUAAUUCCAUCCAUCACGCCUAACUUGCCAAACAUGCCUAACCGCACGCUAGGAUCCCCCCAUGCAUGAUCCUAACGGGCUGGGGGGCUAACUGUUGGGGUCAAAAACGGUUACGACGGAAUUACCACCCGAAAAUCCUCAGAGAUCCGAUCGUCCCGCUCGGUCGAGCUUGGCCGAGCUCGGUUGUUGGGGUCAAAAACGGUUACGACGGAAUUACCACCCGAAAAUCCUCAGAGAUCGUAUUUCCGAAAGAGUUAGUAAAAGAAGGGAUGUAAUUUUCGUAAAAAUAACCUAUACGAGGUUAUUUCUACGAAGAAGUAUUCUUUGGGAUUCAAACCGAACGAUCAACCCGCUCGGUCGCUACGUAGCAACCGAGCUCGGGCCAAAGCUCGGUCGCUACGUAGCGACCGAGCGGGAUGAUCACUCGGUCGCUACGUAGCGACCGAGCUUUGGCCCGAGCUCGGUUGCUACGUAGCGACCGAGCGGGUUGAUCGUUCGGUUUGAAUCCCAAAGAAUACUUCUUCGUAGAAAUAACCUCGUAUAGGUUAUUUUUACGAAAAUUACAUCCCUUCUUUUACUAACUCUUUCGGAAAUACGAUCUCUGAGGAUUUUCGGGUGGUAAUUCCGUCGUAACCGUUUUUGACCCCAACAAUUAGCCCCCCAGCCCGUUAGGAUCAUGCAUGGGGGGAUCCUAGCGUGCGGUUAGGCAUGUUUGGCAAGUUAGGCGUGAUGGAUGGAAUUAAUAUGCGAAAGUCCGAGCUUGAAUAGUAAAUCCUCAUGUCUUAUAAGAAGAGAGGUAACUUGUUCCAUAAUUUUUUCACUUUCUUGUUUUUCUCUAAGAUCUUUCAAAAAAAAAAAACUUUCUAUCUUUCUCUCCACCCUUUUCCUCUAUUCUCUUAAGAGAAGUGUAAAGAUGUCGAGCAAGAAAAAGAUUGCGAAAAAAGGGUCUUCGUCCGCGAGUCCUUACGAAGACCUCGUCGUUCCGAAGAUGGAGUUCGUGCCUCACUCGGUGCAUCCUGCCGAGAACGAGGCAUGGUGGGUUGCUCAUUACGGCUCGUUGAUCCCUCCCAAGGAGAAGCCAUUCCCGGUCCUGGUCCAUCGUGGAGUCGAGGGAAAGGACGCAAGUAGGACCACUGACGAGUUUUGUCGCGACGAUGCGGUCGUUCUACCGCAUCCCGGAUGUUGUGGAGUUCCGGGUUCCCUGCCGCGGGGAAUGUGCUAACAACCCCCCGGAGGGUUACUUUACUUGUUAUGAGGUGUUCAUAGUGCGUUGUCGCCUCUGGUUCCCCAUACCCGAAAUUCUCGUCCGAGUGUUGGACCGUUUCGAAGUCGCGAUAAGUCAGUUGACACCCCUUGCCAUUCAGCACCUUAUUGGGAUCUUGAUCCUAAGCUAUGAGCAUGGCCUUUCCCUUUCCGUCGAUCAUUAUGAAGCGCUUUUGAGGCUUCAACUUGUCAAGGAUACGGAUAAGCAUAGGUUUGUCCCUCGGAAAUUUAUGUCGGUGGUUAAGAAGUUCAUUUCGAACUUCAACUCGUGGAAGAAGUUCUUUUUCUUUGUUCGUUUGGACGCUGCGUCCGUCGAAGAGAGUUGCAUUCCACUGUUCCGGAGGUUGCCGAACAAUCGUCCCUUCAUCAAUCCUCUUGCUCCGUUCCCUGAGGACAUUAUCGCGGUGAGGGAUCUUCUCAGGAAUGGUCCCUUCUUCUGGACUUCUUUCACGCCGAGAAGGGUUCGGAAGGCACUGAAAUUUGUGCAACCUGGUCCAGCUUUGGACGCGGAUACGGGAAGCGACUCCGAACCCGACGGCCAGAGUCCCGUUGAAGCUCCGACAGCCGCGCCAGAGUCGAGCUCUUGGAAGGGAAAAGAUGUCGAUCUCGGCGACAUAGAGUUUUCGAUGGAUGACUCUAUGCUUCUAGGAUGGGAUCCGAACCUUGCUUACGGCGACGGAAGCGGUUCGAGCGAGGCCCCCAUUCCGGACUUCGAUGAUUUCUUUGCUGGGCUGCCAUCGGGUUUCGAUGCUCCUCCUUCUACGAAAGAAUCGGCGAGGCCGAGAGUCGUUGCGGAAGGAUCUCGCAUCAUCAAUGGGGUUAGUUUUUUUUGGGAAUUUUUUAGUGAUUAUCCUAUGUAUGGAUUUGUAACACGCCUAUUGAUUUUGCAGGGCCUGAGCUUGCUGGGCUCGGCCAUCGAGGCGGGUCAUAGAGAAGCCAUGGUCUACCGCUUCAAGGCGGAGAAAGCGGAGCGGGAUCUCGCCCGCGUGCAAGGCGAGAUGCUGGAGCGAGAGGCACAGCUUACUCGUGAUCAUGCGCGGGCUGUUCGCAGAUCGGAGAGGAAAGGCAAAAGAGAGAUCGUCGAGGUGAUGAAGACUCGCGCAUCUCAGUUCCAGGUUGAGUACGGGAAUCUUAAGAAUGCCUUUACCUCGGUGGGUGACUUUCGCGAGUGCCGUGGUUCGGUCGGAAGUCUUUGGAGGACGCAAGCCGACGACUAUGUGUUUGAAGAGGAAAUGAGCUUGAUGAAGAGUGGGAUGAGUGACCGUGCCCACGCUGAGGCGCUUAUCCCUCCGAUCGACGAGAGGAUUCAAGGGUUCUGGGAUUCCAUCCCGGUUUCUCCUGAUACCGAGGAGGUCCCGAUCGAUUUUCACGGCGGUGGCGAGGAAGUGGAUCGUCCCGCGGAUGCGUUUGGUGCUUCGUUGUCCGCGGACUUCGACUUUGGAUUAUGAGGGAUGGAUUAGUUAUCCUUGUUUUCGGCCGAAUAUGGCCCUUUGAAUUUGGAUUUCGUUUAGGUCAAGAUGGCCGUAUUUGUAUUUCGGGGACUGGCCGUUGGUGGCUUUGAAUCCCUUGCCGCUUUAUGCGGUUUAUUUAUAUGAUAAAUGUUUCGUUUCGAGUUUUUCCUGAGUAGGGUUGAAGUAAAUACGAGUUGUCGUCUCGUAUGUAGUUCUAAUUAGACGUUCAAUCUGUUGGUUCGUUCGUGAUUUUCGUAAAAUUUAUCUGUCUUUACGAUUCUGAGAACAUUGAGACACGAACGGAGAGGCAUGGUUUAUGAUCUCGUAUCUUUUAGAUAUCAUGCCUUGAGAUGUUUGAGACCAGAGCGUUGGGUUUAGGGCAAGACCUAGGUUUACUUUCGGUUAAGGUUUGUGCGGUGACUAGCCGGCUAUCGUUUUUCCUGUUGCGAUUUCUUCCUGACUCGCACCGAUUUAAAGUCCGCGAUAUGUUCUCGGCUUAUAUGACUUGUAUGGUACGAAUCGAGCAUCUUCUCAGAAUCAACUGGAAGUGCUAAACCAAAAUUUCGGAUUUUUGUUGUAGCGCGCUUUUGUCCUUGUGCUGGACGUUUUUAAAGAUCAAAAGAGUGAUCGGAUUGCGUUUGUUUAAGACGGCUGGCGUGUUCGUCGGGGCCAAUCGACGAACGGGGUGUAAGGUUUUUGGUGGUCGCGUUCGGACAAUUUGUUUAGCAUUGUCCUCGAAUUUUAACUUUUUGCGACGUCUUGCAGUUAUUUUCGAGGAUUAUGCGUGUUUGAAAGGUGAUAAUCUUUACGAUUUUUGGGCCGGAUGAGGCCGCAGACGAGCGUAAACUGAAGCGUAAGCGUUUUCGAUAAAAAGACAGUGUAUAUUGUAAAAAAAAUUUAUGUUUCUAAAAACUCGAUUACAAUAAUGGCGAUUGUGGGAGUAUACGAGUAUACGCACCCACUCCCCCCCCCUUUUUAGAGAGGGGGAUAGCUGAACUCGUCUUUUGACGAGCUGCCUACGUACCCCUUUCGAGGAUCAAGCCAUCUCGUAGUUCUGUUUCAUGCCGCGAGUGUUCUUACUCGGCGGUUGGUGUCGCGAUGUCCGCCUUGACCGUGUCGAUCGUGGCUGGGUCGACGCUAUUUUCCGGAUGUUCCGGUUGAGUUGUCGCGUGGGCUUCGGAUUUAUGUCGAGCUUCGACGUCCGAUGCAUUUGCGUUGACAGACGAUUUUACUUCGUCCUUGUGCGGGGCGCUUUUGGCCGAAGAUCGAUCUAUCUUCGCGCGUUUGCCGUUUGCAGAAGCCGUGAUUUGCCUUAACUUAUGCUCCGCGAGGAAGCAUAGUCGCGACUGUUUUUGGCAUCCCCAGAUGGCCGCGACUCCGCUCGGCGUUGGGAACUUGAGACCCAGGUGGUAAGUUGACGGAACAGCCUGCAUGGCGUUGAGCCAUGGGGUUCCCAUGAUAACGUUGUAGAUAGCGGGAUGGUCGACUACCGCGAAUUCGACGAUUUUCGUGAUCUCCUUGGCCAUGACUGGCAAUUGGAUUGACCCGAGAGUCAUCGAUACUUCGCCUGAAAAACCCGUGAGUGGUUUUGGCGUCGGAAUUACCUCUCCGAGUUCGAUACUCAUCCGAUUGAGAGUGUCGCGGAAGAUUACGUUGACCGUGCUUCCCGUAUCGACGAGUACCCUUCCGACUUCUAAAUCUCGUAUGACGAGAUCUAUGACGAGCGGGUCGCAGUGAGGUUGGUCGAUACCGCCGGCUUCUUCUUCCGUGAAGGUGAUCGAGCAAUUUUGGCCGUCUCGAGGAGGAGACCAUGUAGGCCAUUUUGCGCUUGAUUCUGCCUUCCGUUGGUAAGCCUUGAUGGCUGACACGGUAUCGCCGCAGUAUUGAGAUCCUCCGAUGAUCAUAUUGACUCUGCGACGAUUGUUAUCGUUCCCUUUGUCAUCCGGCCUCCUACCGCGUUUAUCCUCAGGUUGGUUUCGUUGAGGAGAUUUUUCGGCGGGCGGAUUUCUGUCCGUCUUUGGAGGCCGAUCAGAAUCGAGGAUGAGAUCCUUGACGCUAGUUACUUCCGAAAGUUCUCCAGCGAGCAGCUUCGCGGCCAGUCUUGCUCCCAAGACUUUGCAAUUGGUCGUGGAGUGUCCUCGGGAUUGGUGGAACUCGCAGAAGGUGUUUUCGUCAUACCCUUGAUUGCGAGUCCAUGUGUUGCCCGUGGUCCGGCCUUGAUCCGAACUGAUCGCAUAGUUAUGCGCCCCUUGGAGAUCUUCCCCCUCGUGAUGGACGUACUUGUCGUUACGAGAGUUCUUCUUUUUCCCCUUCGGAUCUGCGUCUUUCGAGGAUGGUCUUGCCGGCUUAUGUUUUUGCGAUAAGACUUUAGUUUCUUCCUCCACUAUGAUAUACUCCGUUGCUUUGUGGAGGGCAUCCUGGAUCCUUCGCGGUUUGUCGAGAGUUAUCCAUUUUCUGAAUUUCGACUUGUACCAGAGCGUCUUUCUCAGCGCGUCAAUGGCCACUUUGUCGCUUAUCCCGCUGACCCUGGACAUUACCAGUUUGAACCGACUGAUAAACUCGCGGAGGGGUUCGUCUUCCCUCUGGGAGAGACUCCAGAGAUCAACAUCGGAGGUUUCCCUGUCUAUGAAUACAGAGUACUGUUUGAGGAAUUCCGAUGCGAGCUGUCGAAAACUCCCGAUGGUGUUGCGACGAAGGCGUGCGAACCAUUCGAGCGCUGCUCCUUCAAGAUUUUCGACGAACAGGCGGCAAUAGCCGGCAUCCUUUUCGCCGUCCUUCAGUCUUGCUCUUCCCAUCGCGAUGUGGAAAGCCUGAAGGUGCGCUUUCGGAUCGGCCGUACCAUCGUACUUCGGUACUUUGAUCUUUCCCGGAUCGGACACCCUCAUGUCCGAAAUGCGACUGGUAAAGGGGGUCUUUCGAGCUCCUUCCAGCAGUCGAUCGAUCUCGGGGGCAGCACUAGUAGCAUGAUGGAUUUGAGACUUUACGGCUCUCACUUCUGCCGCAGUCUUGGUGAUGUAGUCGCGAAGAUCGCGGAUAUCCGAUGUCUCGUCAGUGGAUUUCCGAGCCUGUCGGCGCUUACUGCGAGUGAGCUCGGUUUGCCUUUCGGCCAGCUCCUCUUGUUCGUUCCAAUAGGCGACUUCUUCUUCUUCCGUCAUUGGUUUUUCGAACGGGGAGCCUUCCCGAGCGGAUCGGCUUCUGGUCCUUCUUGGAUGUCUGUCGACAUCCUCGUCGGUGUCGUUGGAGACAUCACUAGGAUCCAGGUCAAUGUGUUCGGCUUCGUUAUCCUCCGAGUCCUUUGCAGGGAGCGGAAGACUUUCAGAGUUCCCCUUCUCGAUGGGAGACUUCUCGCUGGGGUUUUGACCGGAAGGUCGUUCCCGCGCGGCUCCUGCUCUAUCGAGUGGGGUGGCGAAAUCGAGCCUCUUCCCGUGGAUUUUGGUGGUUCCGCGGGGACGGAUAGCUUGGGUCCUUGCCGUUAAGGUUUCAACCUGUUUGGUCAAGGUAUUCACGAGCUUAUCCUGUUCUUCCGACCUUUUUUCAUAGGUGGCGAACAUCUUUUUAAACUCCUCGAGAGUCGCGGCGUUGGCUUGCGCGUUGGCCGCAGAUACGUCCGCUACCGGAGUGUGGAGAUCGGUGCCGCUGCCUCCGUUAAGGGGAGUUUGCACGUUAUCCGCGUCGUUGGUUGACAUGUCUGAUUGUGUGUGGCUUUUGCGGGUUAGAUUGAUCCGUAAGGCCCUGUGUGUGGCUUUUGCGGGGGAGUUUGCACGUUAUCCGCGUCGUUGGUUGACAUGUCAGACUGUGUGUGGCUUUUGCGGGUUAGAUUGAUCCGUAAGGCCCCCUCCUUCUAGCGCCAAACUGUGGGAACCGAAAUUCGCACUGUCGAUUUCCGUUUAAAUAAGGAAACUAAGAAAACCCUAGUUUCCCAGAGGACCCGGAUAUCUGUUAAUUACCACACGUCAAGCAAUCAGAACACGAGAAUAACAACGAUAAAAAUAAGAAAUCGAAAAGAGAGCAAAGUAGAUCUUAUUCCGAAUCUGCGUAUGAGCGUUACAACAAGGUAUAAGCCUGGGCUCGAGAGCUGUCGGCGAGAUUUCUAGUUCUAGCAACCCUAAGACGGCUAAACCUAAUUGAGUCGCAGCUCGAAAUAACAAAAACGGAAAAUUGCCUAAAUUGCUCUAAGUGCUAAGUUUGCUCUGAAAAAAGUUCUCCCUCUUGCUCCUCGCCUAGGACUCCUUAUAUACUAGCUCCAAGGUCGGUUUACGCUUUUACUCUUCUGCCCUUAAGCCGUCAUAGCAUAAAAAUGGAGAUAUCCAUUUUUCCCGAUCUUCACAAUUAUCUUCAAAACUUCCGUAUUUAUCCGCGGAAACUUGACAUUUAUCCUUCCUCGUGGGCCAAGCGUGAACCACGCUGUGGUUUACGGGCUUUUGGUUAGGAAAAUCUUAGGAUGGGCCUCGAGUCGUGUUUUAGGUCCCUUUGGGCCGUCUUCCGACUCGACACGUUUACUACGAGUUUUCCGAGGUUUCUAAUCCGCGAAGUUUGAUCGACGAAUUAGAAUAGCGGGAAACAUGGACUGAGCUUGCUACGGUCUUCGGGAGAUAGCAUUCGAAGGUUUGACGAGAAUGCAAGGACUGGUGUCGUAUCGAUGUUCGGAAAGGUUCAAUCGCUACACAGCGACCAAACUUUGGCUCGAGCCCGGUCGCUACGUAGCGACCGAGCGAGACGAGUGCUCGGUCGCUACGUAGCGACCGAGCUUUGGCUCGAGCUCGGUCGCUACGUAGCGACCGAGCAGGACGAUCGCUCGGUCGCUACGUAGCGACCGAGCGGGACGAUCGCUCGUUCGCUGCGUAGCGACUUGUUUCGAGCUUUUCGUCAGACAUCUCGAUUCUUUCUUCCGUAAAGCUUUUUUCGUAAGAAAUAGUCUAUUUCCGAAAAAUACUCUUCGGAGAAAUUCUUAUUUUCUUCCUCGGACGUUUUGAAUGUUAAAUUUGUCGUAACCGUUUUUGACCCCAACAGUUUGCCCCCCAGCCCGUUAGAGUUGUGACUCUAGCGGGCGGAUAGAUGACUUUGACAAGGUUAAGUGUAUCGGACGAAAUUUACAUUUAAAAUUCCACGGAAAAAAGUUGUCAAGACGACAUUCCGAACCCAUACUUCUAUAAGUAGUGAGCUCUUGUCAUUCAUUUUCUUCACACCUUCCCUUCUUCAUUCCUUCAAAAACCUCUCUAGCUUCAUAAUUUUCCUUUCAACAUGUCUUCCUCCCAAGGUGAUAAGAAGGAUUCCGACGUCGAGAUGGGUGAGGCCACUUCUCCGGCUCCGGUUCCAACUUCUCCGGCGGAAGUGCCGGCUUGUGUUGCCGGUCAUCUUUCUUUCCGAGAGAAACUAGUUCGUCGCCAAGCCGAGAAAGGAUUGGCUCAAACUGGCUCUGAGUUUCCAUCUUCUUCCGCGCAGGUCGUUGCCUCGUGUCAUGGGACCGACGUCGCGGCUCUUCUCCCGCAGGCCCUACCUGCAGGAUCUUCCACGACUCCGAUCCUCGUCGAGGACAAAGAGAAAGCCGCUGACUCUAUGCCUCCGCCUCCAGCCAGAAAAGAAAUCGUUCUGGCAUUGCGUGCUCCUAGCGCUGUCCUGGCUACUCAGCCUAAGAGUCGGAAGAGGAAGCUUGCCAAGAGCGGUGACGGGGAGACUUCGCAGCGAGGUGGGUCGAGCCUAGCAUUGGGACUUCGCGGAAAGGUUUGUUUCUUGUUUGAAUUCUCGAUCGUCUUUCGUGCAUUCUUUUCACGGACUUAGUCUUAAGUAUUUUUACCGUUCGCAGUUCAUAUCGUUGAUCGAUGGGAUGAUCAGCGAAUGUGGUUCUGAGACCAGUCGCCUUUCCGGGGAGUUGGUGGAGCUUCAGGGAAGAUGGUCCGAAACCGAAGCUAUGUUGACGGCUGUCGAGGACUCUCACUCUGCGAAAGUGUCGAAGCUCGAGGUUGCCAUAGGAGAGCUUGAGAGGGACCUUGGGAAGACGGCGAGUUCCUUGCUCAAGGAAAAGAAGGCCAGGAAGGCCAAAUCCUCGGAGGUGCGCCGACUCCAGCGUCAGAUCGAGAGUGACGCGGGACUAGCGCGCCGCGGGAUCCAAGAGGCUACGGAUGCUCUUCGUGUGGAGUUUCAAGGUCGCUUGGCGAAGAUUUCUGCUUCCCUAGGUUCCCUCGAGUGUAUCCGGAGCAGGGAUCUCGCUUUGGCGACGAUUGAGGGCGGGGUGGCCGUAGUUCGGUCAUUCCAAAGUGAGACUCCCCCGACCUUGGAGGCCGAAGAGGCCCGGCUGUCCGGCUGCAAGGGAGAUAUGGCGGCCGAGGAUGGAGAUUUCGGUCUCAUCCUGGCCGACCUGAAAUCCGCGUGCUUCCUUCCGACGUGUUCAGAAGACCCAGAGGGGAAAGACCCGAUGGUCGGAGAGAACGGAAGCGAUGCGGCUCCAGGCUCGGACGAGGCAGCGGGUGAAGAGGGGGCGUAAGUUCUGAGGGCGACUUGGGUUAGAUCUCUUGCGAGAGAUUUUUUUUAAGUUUUUAUGUUUCGGCCUUGAAUGGCCUUGUUUGUAUUUCGGGACUGGCCGUGUGUGGCUUUGAAUCCCUGCCGCUCCGCGGCUUUAUGAUAUGAUAAUCAGAUAACGCUUUUUAUGAAUUUGUGAAUAGUGGGGAGGAAGGUGAUGAGUUGGCGUCUCAUAUCCUUCUUCAAUUGUGAAAUGUUUUAUUCGAGACCUGUUUCGAGAGUUCUUCCGCGAGAUGUGAACUCUGCGGGGGUGCUGAAGGUAUCGAAUGUAAACAUAGAGGCGUGUUUUAAGAAUCUCCUAUCUUUCGAUAUCAUGCCUUUGAGAUGUUAGAGACCAGUGCGCUGGGUUUAGGGCAAGACCUAGGUUUACUUUCGGUUUAAGGAUUGUGCGGUGACUAACCGGCUAUCGUUUUUCCUGUCGCGAUUUCUUCCUGAUUCGUAUCGAUGUAAAGUCCGCGAAAAUUUCUUGGCUUAUACGACUUGUUUGAUACGAAUCGAGCAUCUCUCCGGAGACCGGAAGUGCUAGACCAAAAUUUCGGAUUUCUUUUAUAGCGCUAUUAUCCUUGUGUCGGAUGUAAGAGAGUCAUCUGCGUGAGAUGUCUAUGUCUGUUUAGGACGUUUAUGAGUUCGAUGUGAUCAGCAUCGGACUUGGUGGCGUGUGCCGUUAUUUUGAUUAUUUUGCGCAAAAUAAAUGUUAAUGUGUGCAUGUAUGUAUCUUUUUGCGGAGAUUUCGUUUGCUCGGAAGAAAACAACUUUGAGGCAUCUUUUGCGACGUCUCGCGAUGCUAAAGGUUGAUUCUCCCAAGCGGCCGACUGAUUUCCGAAGACCUCGUUGCGAUUUCGCGGGUGAGGAUGUUUUGAUAAGUCGAAAACACCAAAAGUGUGGUAAGAAGUUUUUCGAUUUUUUUGGAGUAUACGAGUAUACGUACCCACUCCCCCCCCCCUUUUUUAAUGAGGGGGACAGCUGAAUUUGCCUUUCGGCAAACUGCCUACGUACUCCUUGCGGAGAUCAAGCCGUCUCGUAGUUCAGUGAUUGCGAGUUGAUUUGUUUAGUGAUAGUAUUUUUUUAGAUGCAUCGCAUUCCAGGUUCUAGGGAUUUUUAUGCCCUGCAUGUUGGCUAUUUCGUAAGAACCUGGUCGGACGACUUUUUCGAUUUUAUAGGGACCUUCCCAGUUUGCUCCGAGUUUUCUCGCGUUUCGUUCAGCGGUGUUUUGGAAGACUUUGCGAAGGACCAGAUCUCCCUGAUUGAACCUACGAUUCCGUACGUUGGAAUUAUAGUAUCUCGCAGCGGCGUGCUGGUAGUUUUGAAUUCGGAUGAGCGCUCGAUCCCGGCGUUUGUUAAUGAGAUCGAGGUCGUCCAAGAGCAUAGCAUUGUUGAGUUCCUCUCGUUCAGGUAAGAACCUUCUUCGAACACCGGGAAAUUCUACUUCUGCGGGAAUCAUUCACUCCGUGCCGUAUACCAGGGCGAAGGGAGUUUCUCCCGUUGCUCGCCUUGGGGUGGUACGGUGAGACCAGAGGACUCCCUCGAGUUCGUCGGCCCAUCUACCUUUUUUGGCCUCCAAGCGUUUCUUCAAUCCGUCGAGAAUGGUCUUGUUGAUUGUUUCAGCCUGUCCGUUGCACUGCGGAUAUCUGGGAGUUGACUUGUUGAGUCGUAUCUUCCACUUUUCGCAGAAUGCCUCGAAUCGGGUGGAAAUGAAUUGAGACCCGUUAUCGGUUACGAUUUCGUAAGGAACUCCAUGCCUACAGAUGAUGUUUCUCCACACGAAAUUCUCGACUUGGACGUCUUUUAUACUUGCGUACGAGUCCGCCUCUACCCAUUUUGAGAAAAAAUCGGUAAGGACUAGAAGGAAACGCUUUUGCUUUGAAUUAUGCAGAGGUCCGACAAUAUCCAUGGCCCAGCGCAUAAAGGGAUAGGGCGAUGUGAUGGAGGAAAGAACUUCGGCCGGUUGUCGGAUAGUUGGCGCAUGCCUUUGGCAUUUUUCGCAUUUUCGUGCGAAUUUCUCGCAAUCUCCGAUCAUUGUUGGCCAAUAGUAUCCGUGGCGUUUGAUUUUCACGGCUAGUGAUCUUCCGCCGGAAUGGUUGCCGCAUGAGCCGGAAUGUAUUUCCUCCAUUACUUUCCUCGCCUUUUCUCCUUCCAGGCACGUCAGGAGUGGUCCGGAGAAUCUCCAUUUGUAGAUUUCGCCGUCCACUGUUACGUAGCGUGCGGCCUGUGUUCGGAUCUUGCGAGCUGCCCAUUUUUCGGCGGGCAGUUGCCCGUCGAUAAUGUAGUCUCGAAUCGUCUGAAGCCAUGGGGUAUCACAGCCGUAAUCAGAUUGCUCCGAUGGUGGUGGUAUCGUAAUUUCUUCUUCCUCGUCGUCUUGACCCUCUAUGAGAUUGACAACGACUGGUGGUCCGAUACUCGGAUGUUCGAUGAAUUCGACCGGAAUUACCCUUUUGAGUCCUGGAUCGGAACUUGAUGCUAAGGCCGCGAGGGCGUCCGCCUGGACAUUCUCGGAACGGGGGAUCCGGGUAAGGGCGAAACAGUCGAAGUCUUGAGCUAGACCUUGGACCAGUUUGAGGUACGCGUCCAUCCGUUCGUCUCUGGCUUCAUACUCUCCGCUGAAUUGACUGGCCACUAACUGGGAGUCGCAGUAGGCGUGGAGAUUAUGUAUUUUUAAGCCAUGAGCCAAACGUAGACCUGCGAUUAAUGCUUCGUAUUCGGCCUCGUUGUUUGAGGCAUGGAAUACCAGCCUGAACGAUUGUUCCAAGAUCUCGCUCGUUGGAGAUGUGAGACGGAUCCCGAUACCCGAUCCUUGCUUGGAUGAGGAUCCGUCGACGUGGAGGAGCCAGGUGGAAUUUGGUUCCUCAUUGGUUAUUGCUCCCGUUGGAAGUUCGACCAAGAAGUCUGCGAGCACUUGUGAUUUUGCGCUCGUCCUUGGUCGGUAUUCGAUGUCAUACUCGCUCAACUUGACCGCCCACUUAGCCAAUCGACCGGAUUGACUUGGGCUAUGCAAAAUUGUCCGUAAGGGAAAAGUCGUGAGGAUGACAAUCGUGUGGGAUUGGAAAUAUGGUCUUAGUUUUCGGGCCGACGUUACGACCGCGCAUGCCAAUUUUUCCAUCAAUGGAUACCUAGAUUCGGCAUCCAGCAAGGUUUUGCUUAUGUAGAAAAUAGGUUUCUGCUCUCCACGUUCUUCCCUGAUCAGGACUCCGCUUACGGCCGUUGCCGACACCGCGAUGUACAAGAAUAAAGGCUCCCCUUCCACGGGUUUUGCGAGGACUGGAGGAGUAGCUAAAUAACGCUUCAGCUGUUGGAAGGCGUUUUCGCACUCUUCCUACCAUUCAAAUUUUUUAUUUUCUCGCAGGACGUCGUAGAAGGGCAGACACUUAUCUGUUGAUCGUGAAAUAAAUCGGUUAAGUGCUGCGAUUCUGCCGGUCAGUCUUUGGACCUCCCGCUUGUUCUUUGGUGAAGCCAUCUCGAUUAGUGCGUUGAUCUGUUUUGGAUUUGCUUCGAUGCCGCGGUUGGUGACCAAGUAGCCGAGGAAUUCUCCUGAUGCCACGGCGAAUCUACAUUUUGUCGGGUUGAGCUUCAUGUUAUGGGAGCUUAGUUGUGCAAAGCAUUCUUCGAGAUGUGACACGUGAUCUCUUGCUUUGAGGGAUUUGACGAGCAUGUCGUCGAUAUAAACUUCCAUCGUUUUUCCGAGUUGUUUGGAGAACAUUCGGUUCACGAGUCGUUGGUAAGUUGCUCCAGCGUUUUUGAGGCCGAAGGGCAUUACCUUAUAGCAAUAAGUUCCGCGAUCGGUAAUGAACGCAGUCUUUUCACGAUCGUCGGGAUUCAUCCUAAUUUGAUUAUAACCUGAGAACGCAUCCAUGAAGGAUAAGAGUUCGUUGCCCGCUGUUGCUUCUACCAAUCGAUCGAUAUGUGGUAGAGGGAAGCUAUUCUUCGGACAUGCCUUGUUUAGGUCGGUAAAAUCUACGCAAACUCGCCACUUCCCGUUUUUCUUUUUGACUACUACGGGGUUGGCGAGCCAGUCCGGGUAUCUUACUUCCGUUAUCGACCCAACUUUAAGCAAUUUUUCGACCUCAUCGUUUACUGCGGCAGCACGUUCGGGUCCUAGCUUCCGCCUUUUCUGUUUGACGGGUUUGAAUGUUGGGUCGAUAUUCAGCUCGUGACAUGUUAUGUUAAUGUCGAUUCCCGGCAUGUCUUCCGCAGCCCAUGCGAAAGUAUUAAGGUUCUCUUUAAGACAGGUUAUGAGUUCUGUCCUUAAAGGCUCGUGGAGAUUGGCUCCAAUCUCGACGUAGCGUUCUGGGAAGGCUUCGUCGAGACAGAUCGUUACCACGGGUUCACAUGUUGGCUCGCGUUUUUCAUCUAGAGUUGCGAUGCUGCGAGACUGCCAGAAGAAUUCAGCCGAAUCCUAACUUUGCGUAUCUUUGCUGGAGGUCUUUUUCUCCGCUUUCUUAGGAGUAACUUCGAGGAUCGGUCUCUUUCGUUUUAGUUCCGCAGCAAAACAAAACUGCGAAACUCUUGGAUUUCCCCAGAUUACCUCGACUCCGUUAGGGGUCGGGAACUUGAGGCAAAGAUGGUAGGUUGAUGGGAUUGCGCGCAUGGUGUUCAGCCAUGGCGUCCCCAUGAUAACGUUGUAAGAUGCGGGGCGGUCAACGACUAGAAACUCUGUGAUGUUUGUCACGGUUCCGGCUUUGACAGCGAGUCUAAUCGAUCCAUAGGCCAUGGUCGUUUCCCCCGAAAGUCCUAGCAGUGGGCUUGGGUAUUUCGCGAUCUCGGAUUGACUGAUCCCCAUCUUUUCAAGAGUGUCUUUGAAGAUGAUAUCGGCCGAGCUUCCGGUAUCGAUUAGUACUCUAGCGACGUCGAUAUCUCGAAUCGUCAACUCGAUAACAAGGAGAUCGUUUCGAGGUUUGGCUCGAUCGAUCGUUUCUCCCCCCUUGAAUGAGAUGACGUUCGCGCACGUCGAAUCUCGCAUAUCGUUCCUGAUCGUUGAGUGGCUUUUGCGGGUUAGAUUGAUCCGUAAGUCCCCCUCCUUCUACCGCCAAACUGUGGGAACCGAAAUUCACACUGUCGAUUUCCGUUUAAAUAAGGAAACUAGGAAAACCCUAAUUUCCCAGAGGACCCGGAUAUCUGUUAAUUACCACACGUCAAGCAAUCAGAACACGAGAAUAAUAACGAUAAAAAUAAGAAAUCGAAAAGAGAGCAAAGUAGAUCUUAUUCUGAAUCUGCGUAUGAGCGUUACAACAAGGUAUAAGCCUGGGCUCGAGAGCUGUCGGCGAGAUUUCUAGUUCUAGCAACCCUAAGACGGCUAAACCUAAUUGAGUCGCAGCUCGAAAUAACAAAAACGGAAAAUUGCCUAAAUUGCUCUAAGUGCUAAGUUUGCUCUGAAAAAAGUUCUCCCUCUUGCUCCUCGCCUAGGAAUCCUUAUAUACUAGCUCCAAGGUCGGUUUACGCUUUUACUCUUCUGCCCUUAAGCCUUCAUGCAAGGACUAGUGUCGUAUCGAUGUUCGGAAAGGUUCAAUCGCUACACAGCGACCGAACUUUGGCUCGAGCCCGGUCGCUACGUAGCGACCGAGCGAGACGAGUGCUCGGUCGCUACGUAGCGACCGAGCUUUGGCUCGAGCUCGGUUGCUACGUAGCGACCGAGCGGGACGAUCGCUCAGUCGCUACGUAGCGACCGAGCUUUGGCUCGAGCUUGUAGCGACCGAGCGGGACGAUCGCUCGGUCGCUACGUAGCGACCGAGCUUUGGCUCGAGCUCGGUCGCUAGGUAGCGACCGAGCUGGACGAUCGCUCGGUCGCUGCGUAGCGAUUUGUUUCAAGCUUUUCGUCGGACAUCUCGAUUCUUUCUUCCGUAAAGCUUUUUUCGUAAGAAAGAGUCUAUUUCCGAAAAAUACUCUUCGGAGAAAUUCUUAUUUUCUUCCUCGGACGUUUUGAAUGUUAAAUUUGUCGUAACCGUUUUUGACCCCAACAAGGAUGAAUCGCGAUGUAAGAAGCUUGAUUUUGAUACAUAAAGUAAUGGAGAAUCACUAGGAAGUUGAAUAAAUCUCAUAGGAGUUAGGAUGAAGAAGUUGUCCCACUUUCAAAUCAGGUGAUCCCAGUUUUUCUGUUUGGGAAUAUGACAGCUUCUUUGUCAUUCUAAUCAAACCAGGAUAAAUCGCGAUGUAAAAAGCUUGAUUUGGAUAUAUAAAGUAAAGGAGAAUCACUAUGAAGUUGAAUAAAUCUCAUAGGAGUUAGGAUGAAGAAGUUGUCCUACUUUCAAAUCAGGUGAUCCCAGUUUUUCUGUUUGGGAAUUUGACAGCUUCUUUUUCAUUCUAAUCAAACCAGAAUGAAUUGUGAUGUAAGAAGCUUUAAUUGGAUACAUACAGUAGUGGAGAACCAUUAGGAAGUUGAAUAAAUCUCAUAGGAGUUAGGAUGAAGAAUCUAUCCCACUUUCAAAUAAGGUUAUCCCAAUUUUCCUGUUUGGGAAUAUGACCGCUUUCUUGUCAUUCUAAUCAAACCAGGAUGAAUCGCGAUGUAAGAAGUUUGAUUUUGAUACAUAAAGUAAUGGAGAAUCACUAGGAAGUUGAAUAAAUCUCAUAGGAGUUAGGAUGAAGAAGCUAUCCCACUUUCCAAUCAUGUGAUCCCAAUUAUCCUGUUUGGGAAUAUAACAGCUUCCUUGUCAUUCGAAUCGAACCAGGAUGAAUCGCGAUGUAAAAAGCUUGAUUUUGAUACAUAAAGUAAUGGAGAAUCACUAGGAAGUUGAAUAAAUCUCAUAGGAGUUAGGAUGAAGAAGCUAUCCCACUUUCAAAUCAGGUGAUCCCAGUUUUUCUGUUUGGGAAUAUGANNNNNNNNNNNNNNNNNNNNNNNNNNNNNNNNNNNNNNNNNNNNNNNNNNNNNNNNNNNNNNNNNNNNNNNNNNNNNNNNNNNNNNNNNNNNNNNNNNNNNNNNNNNNNNNNNNNNNNNNNNNNNNNNNNNNNNNNNNNNNNNNNNNNNNNNNNNNNNNNNNNNNNNNNNNNNNNNNNNNNNNNNNNNNNNNNNNNNNNNNNNNNNNNNNNNNNNNNNNNNNNNNNNNNNNNNNNNNNNNNNNNNNNNNNNNNNNNNNNNNNNNNNNNNNNNNNNNNNNNNNNNNNNNNNNNNNNNNNNNNNNNNNNNNNNNNNNNNNNNNNNNNNNNNNNNNNNNNNNNNNNNNNNNNNNNNNNNNNNNNNNNNNNNNNNNNNNNNNNNNNNNNNNNNNNNNNNNNNNNNNNNNNNNNNNNNNNNNNNNNNNNNNNNNNNNNNNNNNNNNNNNNNNNNNNNNNNNNNNNNNNNNNNNNGUUCGCAGUUCAUAUCGUUGAUCGAUGGGAUGAUCAGCGAAUGUGGUUCUGAGACCAGUCGCCUUUCCGGGGAGUUGGUGGAGCUUCAGGGAAGAUGGUCCGAAACCGAGGCUAUGUUGCCGGCUGUCGAGGACUCUCACUCUGUGAAAGUGUCGAAGCUCGAGGUUGCGAUAGGAGAGCUUGAGAGGGACCUUGGGAAGACGGCGAGUUCCUUGCUCAAGGAAAAGAAGGCCAGGAAGGCCAAAUCCUCGGAGCGGGACGAUCGCUCGGUCGCUACGUAGUGACCGAGCUUUGGCUCGAGCUCGGUCGCUGCGGGACAAUCGCUCGGUCGCUAUGUAGCUACCGAGCUUGGCUGAGCUCGGUCGCUACGUAGCGACCGAGGUCGCUGCGUAGCGACUUGUUUCGAGCUUUUUGUCGGACAUCUCGAUUCUUUCUUCCGUAAAGCUUUUCUCGUAAGAAAGAGUCUAUUUCCGAAAAAUACUCUUCGGAGAAAUUCUUAUUUUCUUCCUCGGUCGUUUUGAAUGUUAAAUUUGUCGUAACCGUUUUUGACCCCAACAAGCUACAGGUAAAAGUUUGUUCCUAGUUUCUCUCUCUCUAAUUUUCUUUCUUGAGUCAAAGUCUGCUUCCAUUGCAAAAUCAGUGACCAAGAUUGGAGAGGCUUCCAUGAAUCAAAACUUAAUGGUGGUUGCCACCAAGUUCUGUUCACUUCUUUUUGACCUACAUCCAAGAGUUCUUUGCGAAAGCGAGCCUUGAAGAUUGCCGCCUCCAAGUCCUGUUUCGAACUCUUUUAUUUGAGUCUUUAUGAAUCAAGCCUUAAUGGUUUUAGCCACCAAGUCCUGUUCAGACUCAUCCUAAUUAAACCAUAGAUCUUUUAUUAUUAUUAUAUUAUUAUUAUUAUUAUUAUUUUUAUUAACUCACUAACUAAUCUAGGGUCGAAAUUUAGAGAGAAAAAAUGUGAUAAAUAAUCUAAACCAGGCGUUACCUUCCAGACCUGUCUGGAGAAUCCGAUCCCAUGUAUACCAAGCCCCAAGACAAGCGGUUAUGUCAGGUUUAGUGUUGGAAAUCAGCUUUGGUUACUUCAUAUGGUUCAAGGCAAGUGUUUAGUUGAUAGGUUGAUCCGCUUUAGCAUCUUUAGUGCUAUCUGCCAUCACUAAAUCUAAAAUGGUGCUAAAGAUUGGUUAGAUAUUCAAGUUUAAAUCAAUAUAAAAUUAUAGUUUUUAUUUUCAAUAGCUAAGCAUAAUUUAUUAAAAUUCCUUUUUAUAUAAGAAUAAAAUAAAUUAUAUCAGUAAAUCUCACCCCAGACUUAAAUUACAAUGUCCCAGUGUAACUCAGCCGGAGUUAUGAUGAAAAGUUAUGAUGUACGAAAUGUAACAAGGAAGAUACGUCUUGCCGGAUUAGAUAUCGAUCGAUGUGUAAGUGUUAUAUCGAUCGUCAUGUGCUUGUCUACGUCGAACGAUGUCGACGUCUCGUCGUCGGUCGAUAUUCAGGUCCUCCUACUUGGGUCUCCUAAAUCUGAAAGAAAUAAACGAAAGUAAAUAAAUGCUAGCUAAUAAAACCAAAGUAAAAUACCUAAUAGUGGGUUGCCUCCCACUCAGCGCAUGGUUAUAGUUAUUUAGCUUGACUGUGGUAAUGAUUGGCUAUUGGGUGGAGAAACAGCUGCUUGUUGGUUGGAAAGCAAGCAUCCACGUCAUCUCUGCACAUUCUGAACCAAAAUGCAAUGAAACUUCUUGUGGCCUCAUCAUUUCUUGUCCAUUUGUCAUCCAUCUUCUCAAGUACAUUGGAGAUGUUCUGUAGCCUUUCUUGAACGUUGUCAAUGCUGACCUGGUGCCAACCAAUGUUGUCAUUGGCGUAUGCUGAAAGAUCUGCCAGUUCCUUUUGCAUUGAUUCCAUCGUCUUAUGUAUCAGUUGCUCGCUGAUUGGUGUAGACUCGGCGUCGAUCGAUGCGAUUAUGUGUUCGUUGGUCGAUCUGGGCAAGUUGCCAUCGAUCGAUUUCGCUCGUGUCCUGUCGAUCGAUGCUGAUAUCUGGUGUUUGGCUGCGAUUUUCCUCUGAAUGGCUUUGACUUCUUUCUAUAGCCAUUCUGCGUGGCUGUCUAGUCCACUGAUUUUGUUGUCGAAUGGAAAGUAGAUGUCAUCGCAGCGUUUGUGAAGUCGUUCCUCCAUGGUGUCUAAAGCAGUGUAGAUCUUGGAUGUGAUCUUGUCAACCUCUGCUGCUGUGUAAGGAAGUAACUCCACAGGUUUUUUGCCAUCGAUCCAAGGCCCUCGUAGCCUGUCGAUUGAUGCUGAUUUUGCCUGCAAAAAAUUUUGAUUAGUAAUGUUCUCAGUAUCCUUUUGGGCAUGAAGUAAUUGACUAAACAAUUUGUUUAAAUAUAUCAUGACUGGUGAUAUAAAGCGGUCAUGCAUAUCCUCGUAAGUCCUCAGCCUCUCAUUCAUGGCUGAGACUUUAGCGUCGAGCGAUGUGAAGGUACACAUGUCGAUCGAUGUGGCUGGUUGUUGGUCCUUCUUGGGAAUGGUGUCUAGAUCUUGCUGUAGUAGCUCUAUUUUAGUGCUUAUCCCACUUUCAAAUCAGUUGAUUCCAGUUUCCCAGUUGAUUCCAGUUUCCCAGUUUGGGAAUAAGACAACUUCUUCGUUGUUCCAAUCGAACCAGGAUGAAUCACUUUGUAAGAAGCUUGAUUUGGAUACAUAAAGUGGUGGAGAAUCACCUGGAAGUUAAAUAAAUCUCAUAGGAGUAGGGAAGAAGAAGUUAUCCCUUUUUACAAAUCAAGUGAUUCUAGUUUCCCAGUUUGGUAAUGAGACAACUGCUUCAUCGUUCCAAUCGAACUAGGAUGAACCACUUUAUAAGAAGCCUGAUAUGGAUACAUAAAGUGGUGGAGAAUGACCAGGAAGUUGAAUAAAUCUCAUAGGAGUAGGGAAGAAGAAGUUAUUCCACUUUCAAAUCAGUUGAUUCCAGUUUUCCAGCUUGGGAAUAAGACAACUUCUUCGUCGUUCCAAUCGAACCAGGAUGAAUCACUUUGUAAGAAGCUUGAUAUGGAUACAUAAAGUGGUGGAGAAUGACCAGGAAGUUGAAUAAAUCUCAUAGGAGUUGGGAAGAAGAAGUUAUCCCACUUUCAAAUCAGUUGAUUCCAAAUUCCCAGUUUGGGAAUAAGACAACUUCUUCGUCGUUCCAAUCGAACUAGGAUGAAUCACUUUGUAAGAAGCUUGAUAUGGAUACAUAAAGUGGAGGAGAAUGACCAGGAAGUUGAAAAAAAUCUCAUAGGAGCUGGGAAGAAGAAGUUAUCCCACAUUCAAAUUAGUUGAUUCCAGUUUCCUAGUUAGGAAUAAGACAACUUCUUCGUCGUUCCAAUCGAACCAGGAUGAAUCACUUUUUUAGAAGCUUGAUAUGGAUACAUAAACUGGUGUAGAAUGACCAGGAAGGUGAAAAAAAUCUCAUAGGAGCUGGGAAGAAGAAGUUAUCACACUUUCAAAUCAGUUGAUUCCACUUUUCCAAUUUGGGAAUAAGACAACUUCUUCGUCGUUCCAAUCGAACCAGGAUGAAUCACUUUUUUAGAAGCUUGAUAUGGAUACAUAAACUGGUGUAGAAUGACCAGGAAGUUGAAAAAAAUCUCAUAGGAGCUGAGAAGAAGAAGUUAUCCCACAUUCAAAUCAGUNNNNNNNNNNNNNNNNNNNNNNNNNNNNNNNNNNNNNNNNNNNNNNNNNNNNNNNNNNNNNNNNNNNNNNNNNNNNNNNNNNNNNNUAUCCCUUUUUACAAAUCAGGUGAUUCUACUUUCCCAGUUUGGGAGUAAGACAACUUCUUCAUCGUUCCAAUCGAACUAGGAUGAAUCUCUUUGUAAGAAGCUUGAUAUGGAUACCUAAAGUGGUGCAGAAUGACCAGGAAGUUGAAAAAUAUUUCAUAGGAGCUGAGAAGAAGAAGUUAUCCCACAUUCAAAUUAGUUGAUUCCAGUUUCCCAAUUUGGGAAUAAGACAACUUCUUCGUCGUUCCAAUCGAACUAGGAUGAAUCACUUUGUAAGAAGCUUGAUAUUGAUACCUAAAGUGGUGUAUAAUGACCAGGAAGUUGAAAAAAAAUCUCAUAGGAGUUGGGAAAAAGGAGUUAUCCCACUUUCAAAUCAGUUGAUUCCGGUUUCCCAGUUUGGGAAAAAGACAACUUCUUCGUCGUUCCAAUCGAACCAGGAUGAAUCACUUUGUAAGAAGCUUGAUAUGGAUACAUAAAGUGGUGGAGAAUGACCAGAAAGUUGAAAAAAAUCUCAUAGGAGCUGGGAAGAAGAAGUUAUCCCACUUUCAAAUCAGUUGAUUCCAGUUUCCCAGUUUGAGAAUAAGACAACUUCUUCGUUGUUCAAAUCGAACCAGGAUGAAUCACUUUGUAAGAAGCUUGAUUUGGAUACAUAAAGUGGUGGAGAAUCACCUGGAAGUUGAAUAAAUCUCAUUGGAGUAGGGAAGAAGAAGUUAUCCCUUUUUACAAAUCAGGUGAUUCUAGUUUCCCAGUUUGGGAAUAAGACAACUUCUUCAUCGUUCCAAUCGAACUAGGAUGAACCACUUUGUAAGAAGCCUGAUAUGGUUACAUAAAGUGGUGGAGAAUGACCAGGAAGUUAAAUAAAUCUCAUAGGAGUUGGGAAGAAGAAGUUAUCCCACUUUCAAAUCAGUUGAUUCUAGUUUCCCAGUUUGGGAAUAAGACAACUUCUUCGUCGUUCCAAUCGAACUAGGAUGAAUCCCUUUGUAAGAAGAUUGAUAUGGAUACAUAAAGUGGUGGAGAAUGACCAGGAAGUUGAAAAAAAUCUCAUAGGAGCUGGGAAGAAGAAGUUAUCCCACUUUCAAAUCAGUUGAUUCCAGUUUCCCAGUUAGGGAAUAUGACAACUUCUUCGUCGUUCCAAUCGAACCAGGAUGAAUCACUUUAUAAGAAGCUUGAUCUGGAUACAUAAAGUGGUGGAGAAUGACCAGGAAGUUGAAAAAAAUCUCAUAGAAGCUGGGAAGAAGAAGUUAUCCCACUUUCAAAUCAGUUGAUUCCAGUUUUCCAAUUUGGGAAUAAGACAACUUCUUCGUUGUUCCAAUCGAACCAGGAUGAAUCACUUUGUAAGAAGCUUGAUAUGGAUACAUAAACUGGAUCUCCUAACCUAGAAUGCCACAAUGCACCAUUUGAAACAUAACUAAGCAGGCAACUAGAAGUAGAAAUAAAUUUAAUGUCUUCAAGCAUGUAAAGGUCUCCCUUGGCUACACGUUGUCCAAUCAACUUACUGCUCCCAAUAUCCUGAAAUUUCACAUCAUUAGGACUGAAGAUAACAUUGCAUUGUAGAUCAGUAGUACAUCUCUUAACAGAUAAGAGGUUAGAAGUAAACUCAAGCAUGUAAAAGGCUUUAGAGUUCUUAUCAAACAGGUUCAAGUUUCCUAUCCUCUAAUAGGAAUUCUAUCCCCGUUUGCAAUUAUUACAUGUCCAUGUGGUUCUAUGUUUUUUAUAAGACUAUCAUCACUUAUCAUAUGAUGAGAAGCACCUGAAUCUACAAUCAACGGUUUUAUCCCUUGAACAAUGUGAGUUCUAGGUGAUUCAUUUCUAAGUUUUAAUUCAUCAAUGAUAUCUAUCAACCUAUUAUCACAUUUAGUCAUAGCAUGAGCAGUAUAUGAGUAUCCAAGAGUGUUUCCGAAUGUACCAGACUCCUUAAGAGCUUUGAUGAGGGCAACGAUGUCGGAUUUCCUGAUCACCUCAUGUUCCAUGCUCUUCCCAGCCGUGUAAUGAGAGGCCAUGGCUCUUGAUGCGCUUUCACCCGCGUGUUCACUUGAGCCAGCUCCUGAUGGACCGGCGUCACUUGCUUCAGCAGACAGGUUAGCACUAGCCUCUCUAUCCUUGUUGAACUUGGCUGGCUUAAGAUGUGGGUGUAGGAUCCAGCAUUGGCUCCUCUUGUCUCCCGGUUUCUUACAGUGAUCACAGUUGCCUCCAAACCUCCUCUCAACACUAUACUUCAUGUCAUCUGAUCUGUAUGUUGCACGGUUUGCCAGUGCCACUUCCUCAGCCUUAUUGGCCAAUGAUAGGUCUCCUUUACUUCCAAAGAGACCAAGAGAUCCCUCCUCCUUUUGAAUCUGUGCACACACCUCCUCCAUGGAUGGGAGAUUUGGCGACCUCAGUAUGUGCUUGAUCACAUCAUUGAACGGAGAAUCCAAUGUCAACAGCAGUCCAAACACUUGAUCUUGCUCACGCCUCUCCAUCAGCACCUCUUGAUAAGUUGUGCUAGGCCUCAAGGUUUCAAGCUCAGACCACAAUGAUCUAUACUUGCCCAAAUUCUUGGUGAACUUCUCUCCAUCUUGCACAAGUAUGUUGAUAUCUCGCUUGAUUUCAAACACACUGCUCAGAUUGGUAAUGUUCCCAAAUGUCUUUUGGAGUGUCUCCCACAGAUGUUUAGGAGUCUCGCAAUAGCUGUAUGCUUCCAAUAGAUGAACCUCAAGAGACCCUUGUAGUGCGGACAGUACCAUAAGAUCAUCUUGAACCCACUUCUUCUGAUCAACAACCGCGAGCUCUCUCCCACCUUCUUCCUCACCGGCCACUGGCUUUGGAGCUUCAUCCGUGAUGAGACUCCACAGCCCUAGCCUCCAAAUGGCUGUCUUCACCAGCCUUGACCACAACAGGUAGUUUCCUCCACCCUUGAGUGAAAUCAGAACCGUAACAAUCUUGCUGUUGCCUCCCAUCUUGAUUUACGCUGAACACAAAGAUAAACUUGAAUGAAGCUGAAGAACACAAGAUCUCAAUACCAAAGCCAACCUGGCUGUGAUACCAUAUGAUUUUACAGAAUAAGAAAGGUAUUAAGAUAUUUAAGAGAGUUUAAGAGAGAUUAAGAUGUUUACGAGUAAUUGUAUGAGAUAAUCAUGAUGAACUUGAGAGAGAAACUCAUAAACUCUUGUGUUAUUUUUUACUAAUGACCAGGUACAAUAUAUAUAUGAGAGAGAGCUAGGGCAUUUCAAAAUACAAGCAUGUGAAGUCAAGGAUAAGAUGAGAGACUAUAGGAAAAAUAACCAAUGGGAUUAGCCACAUGCUUGGACACCUUUUGCUUUUAAUUUACAGGCUGUCCUUAGCUGUAGCCACGCCAUAUCCAUCUGAUCCAACGGUCUUAUUGUAGAUAAGAGCCUCCAAGGUAAGGUAAGCCGAGUUACUCUUCAACCGGGUAACUUAUGGACGAUCCAAGUUAACUUUGGUCGAUCCAAAAGUUACCAUGGUACGGUCUCUUGUUCGGCCUGGUCGUACGACCGUCCCGAACUCAUCCUCUCUUGUCUUCUGCAUUCUUCAACACUCUUAUAUCUAAUAACACAAGCCUGCCUCAUCUCAUUCAUAUUGUUUAACAAUAGGAGUUGGGAUGAAAAAGUUAUCUCACUUUCUAAUCAGGUGAUUCUAGUUUCCUAGUUUGGGAAUACAACAACUUCUUCGUCGUUCCAAUCAAACCAUGAUGAAUCACUUUGUAAAAAGCUUGAUUUGGAUACAUAAAAUGGUGGAGAAUAACUAUGAAGUUGAACAAAUCUCAUAGGAGUUGGGAUUUAGAAGUUAUCCCACUUUCAAAGCAGGUGAUUCCAGUUUUCCAGUUUGGGAAUAAGACAACUUCUUCGUUGUUCAAAUUCAACCAUGAUGUAUCAAUUUGUAAGAAUCUUGAUUUAGAUACAUAAACUGGUGGAGAAUCACCAGGAAGUUGAAUAAAUCUCAUAGGAGUUGGGAAGAAGAAGUUAUCCUACUUUCAAAUCAGGGGAUUCCAGUUUCCCAGUUUGGGAAUAUGACAACUUCUUCGUCUUCCAAUCGAACCAGGAUGAAUCACUUUGUAAGAAGCUUGGUUUGGAUACAUAAAGUGGUGGAGAAUCACAAGGAAGUUGAAAAAAUCUCAUAGGAGUUGCGAAGACGAAGUUAUCCCACUUUCAAAUCAGGUGGUUCCAGUUUCCCAGUUUGGGAAUAAGACAACUUCUUCGUCGUUCCAAUCGAACCAUCAUGAAUCACUUACAAGUCAUACUAUCACACCUAUCAACAACACUACUCAAGCACACAGAAUCAAAGGGUUUAGAAUUCUUAGCCAUUUGAAGAUGGUAUAGCUGAUUCUUGCUGUCUCCUAUGCCAAUAACUCUCCCAGUCUUCAAAUCUUGAAAUUCAACUUCAUCAGGUCUGAAUAAUACUUGACAAUCGAGAUGAAUGGUAGUUUUCUUCACCGAUAACAGAUUUGAAGUGAACCGGGGCAUGUAGAAGGCAGUCUUGUCCUUCUCAAACAGUUUGAGCUUUCCCACUCCUUCUAUUGGGAUCAUAGCACCAUUAGCUAUCAUAACACUCCAUGUUGCAGCCUUGAUUUCACUUAUAAUCCUCCUAUCACUGAUCAUAUGAUGGCUUGCUCCAGAAUCAAUUACACAGGGUUUAGGAGCUCCGGAUUGUACACCAUGUGUCUUGCUUGCUGCUAAAGCUUGUCCAUGUUCCAUGAACACUCACCAUUCCUUCAUGGUGAUGCAAUCAUCAGCUCCACCCUCAUUUUCCUGCUCUCUUAACACCACACUGUCUUCUACUGAUUCCCCCAUUUAGCCUGAGUAAGAACACUCUCAUCUCACCACUUGUUGUGCAGCCUCCUUGAUCAUCUUUAAGUUCAUCUCGUCACUCACAUAACCAGACUCUCUGUUCUUCCUCCAAGCCUUUCUCCUCAUGAACCAUACCUUGGAAAGUUUUCUACCUUCCCUUCUUACAGUUUGUACCACCCUUCCACUGAAUUGAUUUCUUGUUCUUCACACACACAUCACAAGUGUAUUGAACAAGCUCAAAUAUCUCAUUCACAAUAAAGUUAAAGAUAACAUCUUGUCCUCUCCUUUCUUCAAUUACCUCUGGCUUUGCUGUAAGCUCCACCCACACUUCUUUCAGCCUUCUCACAAGCUGAUAAAGCUCAUCCUUUCCUUGUUUCCAGUCACAUAUCACCCUCUUGUCUUCACUGACCUUCACAAGUUUGGACCUUUCUUCAUAAGCUGCUUCAAUCCCACUCUUUCUAGUGUUUUCUUGAACAGCUUCAUCUUCAAAAAUAACCAACUCCUUUAAAGGUUCAUCCUUUAUCUGAUUACUCCAAAUCCCACAGCUUUCCAAAGUUGUCUUCAUCAAAUCUGACCAGAUCCACUCGUUUUCUCUUUCUUUCUUCACUUGAUAAAUUGAUCUGGUCUUCUUUUCUUUGCUAGAGUCGUUUGAUUCCAUCAGAUGAACUCAAUCAAACCCAGAAAAUGAAGAACAGAGCUCAAAACCAUCAUGAACACUCAAGAACAUCAAGAACAGCUCAAGAACACCAAGAACACAAACCUAUAUUUUUUAAAACAAGAUUAACACACUCCCACCCUUUUAGCAACCUGGCUCUGAUACCAUAUACACUUUUGUGUAUUAGAGUGUGUUUAAACAAAUUUAAGAACAAUCAGACUGUUUUGUGUAAGAUUAAAGAGAUUAAGAGAAUAAGUAGAGAGAGAACAAAGAGAAUAUUCAAAACUCCACUAAUUAAUUUAAUGUCUUAGAUACAAAUUAUAUAUGAAGAGAUAAGGCAGAUACAAAGGGGAUUUCGAAAUCCAUAAGCAUGUGGGAGUCAAUGGACAUGCUGGAAGUCCUUUUGAAAUGCUUGGUUAUAGUUUCACACAUGCUUUCUACAGUAAUAAAGUAUAUUCUCCUUUCCAGCUCAAGACAGCAUGUCCACGUGCCCCUUAUCUUCUCCAAAUUCCCUUGGAUGUUUUUCCUCUCCAAAUGGAUGCAAAGUAACUUCACAAGCUUUAACGUAGUUACCUUUAUCCAGAAAUGGUGAAACUCAAAAGUUAAUGUGGUAAAAACUCCAAAGUUACUUUCUCACUUCAUUGAACCCUAAAGCUUCAUACCUUCACUACUUGGUCUUCAUCUCAACAGUUAGGAUGAAGAAGUUAUCCCACUUUCAAAUCAAGUGAUUUCAGUUUCCCAGUUUAGGAAUAAGACAACUUCUUUGUCGUUCCAAUCAAACCAGGAUGAAUCACUUUGUAAGUAGCCUGUUUCGGAUACAAAAGUGGUGGAGAAGCACCAGGAAGUUGAAAAAAUCUCAUAGGAGUUGGGAUGAAGAAGUUAUCCUACUUUCAUAUCAGGUGAUUCCAGUUUCCCAUUUUGGGAAUACGACAACUUCUUCGUCGUUCCAAUUCAACCAGGAUGAAUCACUUUGUAAGAAGCUUCAUUUGGAUACAUAAAGUGGUGUAGAAUCACCAGGAAGUUGAAUAAAUCUCAUAGGAGUUGGGAAGAAAGAGUUAUCCCACUUUCAAAUCAGUUGAUUCCAGUUUCCCAGUUUGGGAAUAAGACAACUUCUUCGUCGUUCCAAUCAAACCAGGAUGCAUCAUUUUGUAAGCAGCUUGAUUUGGAUACAUAAAGUGGUGGAGAAUCAACAGGAAGUUG